rnacentral:lncRNA from 1 species
UUUUUGUGAACUUCUGCAGACUGUGAACUUCUGAGCCCCUUCCCUUACAUGUUGGGUACAAAAUUCUGAAACUACCUAAACUUGGGGUUCAUGUGAUUAAUUAAUUACAACAGAAGCAAUGCCCUCUAAAUCCGGUUGCAACCAAAUAGGUCUUUUUCCCUGUCUUCGGUGCUAUCUUAGGUAACUUGCCUUGUCCGUCCCUACAACAGUAUAAUUCUAUAUACUUAAACAUUGUUUGUGUUUUCAUAAAAUGGUCAACAGAUGUGAUUAAUUAUAUAGUGUUGCAGAUGUUUCCCAGAGUGCUCUAUCAUGAUGCAGGUUAAUUUAAAUAUCAAAUAAGGGUGCAUACAGCCCGGUUAUGCUGGGAACCUGUAUCCCUCACUUUAGCCAUGCUAUUAGGAAAAGGAGUUGCUGCAGGGGUGGGCACAGGAACCACUGCCCUAGUCCAUGGGACACAACAAAUUACCCAAUUAGAAGCAGCAAUAGACCAAAACUUAAAGAUGUUCAAAACCUCCAUCACAGCUUUAUAGGAAUCUUUAACCUCUCUCUCUGAAUUUGUUUUACAGAACAGGCGAGGGUUGGACCUCCUCUUCAUGAGAGAAGGAGGACUUUGUGCUGCAUUGAGGGAAGAAUGUUGUUUUUAUGCCAACCAUAAUGGAGUUGUAAAAAAAUCUAUGAGUAAAUUAAGAAGACACCUUGAAGAGUGUCAACAAGAGAGGCACAAAAAGGGUGGUUUGAGUCUUUUUUCACACAGUCCCCCUGGUUAACUAUGCUUUUAUCAGCCCUGGCCAGUCCAUUAAUAAUCCUCAUAUUAUUGCUAAUUGUAGGAUCCUGUUUGCUCAACCGUGUAGUUUCCUUUCUACAAGCUCAAAUUGGAUAAGUUAAACUUAUGGUAAUCAGACAACAAUAUACCUCACUAGCAGACAUAAAAUAUGAGACCCCCCAAUGAUCACUUUUAUGAUUAAAAGUAACCAGAAUAAGAAGUGGGGAAUGAAAUGUUAAUAAAAUAGGUACUUGUCACUUCCUGCUUUUCUGUAUGCUUAACAAAACACUGUUGAAAUCUUGAAAACUGUUUGCUAAUCUUGUUCCCAGAAUGUCCUGUCCCCAACUGCCAAACUGCUGAAUGUACUCCCUCUCCCCUUGGGAUGCAAACCACUAACUCAACCUGACCAAUCAAUAAAUUUCCCUCCCUGCCCUCACCAAGUAAAGUACAUAAGCUCUGCUUAAGCUGUUCUCAGGGCUCUCUGCUCUAUUCAAGUGAGCUCUGAGCCCCAGCAUGCUGGACCCCCAAUAAACCCUUUGCUGUUGCAUGAGAUAGUCUCUUCAUGGUCUCUUCCUCCGAUGCUCGCCCGACCUUUACAUUAGUACAAUCAUAAGUGUGAACUUUGCUUUGUGUGUCCAUGAUAUUACUGUAAUAAAAUGUAUAUGUAGAUCAGGUGACAGUAGUAUAUCUUCCACCAUUCCUGGGAGCAAUAUAUUGAAGAUGUAUGAAUUUGUAUUGGGAGUAGAAAUAGGUGUACCAUGUGUCUAUGAAUAUAGAGAUAAUGCGUGAAUAGACCAUACUGUGAAUAAAUAAUAUAACUGGUUCCAACUUUAAAUAAUGGAUUGAAUUUAUAUCUGAAAAUAUACAGGAAAUCUUAUAUUGAUAUAAUACAAUUAAUCCUAACCGUUAUACAUCUAAUUGUAAUAUUAGGGUUAUGGAUUAUCAUGAAGAGUGUAUGAGUUUUGCUUCAAAAGUGAUUAUGGAAAUUGAAAAUAAUGUGUUUGGAAAGAAGUCUCAUGAAAAGACCAGUCAAGAAACCUGGAGGUAUAUGUGUGUUCUGAAGCAGGAAGUGAUGGAAAGUGAAACAAAUGCCAAUAUAUUUGAUAACUUGUGGAUGAAAUAUAUAUCCUAUGAUGUGCAUAAAUUGAAUAAAUAGUAAUGUACCAGAGUUGAAUAAAAAUGAACGUUAAAAUACAUAUCAUGUCCCAUAGGAAUCUACUUGAAUUGAUGUUAAACUGUCAGUUACUGUAGAAAUAUUAGGAUUUGUAUGCACCAUUCACUGAAGUUAGUUUUCAGUACUAGGAAAAAAUAUGUAUUUGAGGUGGAUGAAUAUUUCUGAGAAUAAUCUUGUGAAAAGUUGAUUAUAAAUCCACAUACAUGAAUAUGAAUGAAUUUAGGGAGUGUAUAAUAAGACUCAUACAUUUCAUAUUUUGAAAAAUCUGGAGAGUAUAUAUAUGUAUAUAUAUAUAUAUAUAUGUAUAUAUAUAUAUAUAUAUAUAUAUAUAUAUAUAUAUAUAUACACACACACACACACACACACACACACACACUGAGACAUUAAAAAUAGCAAUAUAUAUGCCAAUCGAAAUUCACCAUGAAAUAUACAUCAUCCACAGAUCCAAAAAUAUCCAUUUUACUGAAGAUAGAUUUAUGUAUAAUGUUGUUUAACUAGGAAGCUUACCCACACAUUGAAUUUUCAGUUCCAACAGCAUUUAGGAGGAGUGAUCGCUUCUCACAAUUUAUAUCUGCCAAUUCAGCCAACUCACAAAAAUGUACGUGUGAUACCACGUAGUAUUCUAUAUGUGCAUAUAAAAAUACAUGUGCUGAAUAGGCUACAGAGAGAGGGAGACAGGAAUUCACACAUUUGUCAAGUUUAAAAACACAUGGAGAACUAUUUCAACAAAAAAUUGACUAGAUUUAUAACAACUACCUUUUUUAUGCAAAAGGCAAAUCCAACUAUACAACAUGCCUCCUCUGAACUGCUUGUAUUUCUAUUCUGUUUGGGUUAUUUUUCUCCAUCAUAUUAGGAUUAGUAGUCAGAGUCUAGUAGGUUAUGGGUUAGUGUCAGGGAUUCAGUAUUUCAAAUGGAAAAUAGGAUAAUGAAUCCAAUGUGUAUGCAAAUAUGUGCUUCAAAAAAAUAUUCCCAGUAUCAUUAGGAACAAAGCCUUGACAUUACCUUUGCCUGAAGUAAGUCACAAUUAGAAGAGAAGAGUUAGAAAAUCUGUGAAUACAUAUCUGGAAUGGAAAAUGCUCAGGAGUUCACAACACUGGAGGUGAUAGAGGAGUUUCCAAAAGUAAGGGACAUGGUAAACACUCCUCAAACAUGGAGGUCUGCUGGCCUGAAAACAUCUUGAGAAACUGCCUCUGAGGUUGGGCACUUGAAAUAUAUGUUAUUUUCAGGAGCUUUAGCUUCUUUUUUAUUGAGACCAUCAAAGCUGGGUCUGCAUCUUUGUGACCUGGAGGAUAUGGUUUCUUAUUUUCCAGUGAACAUGAGGCAGCAGUGCCGAAUUCACUCUUUGUAGGUAAACUGUGGCCACUGGGGUCUAAUUGUCUCCCCGUGUGGACUGUGGAGCCAUUUGGUCAUCCUCCACUUUUCGUGGUGUUUCUUGCUGCUGCUCUGGGAUUUUGGUAUUUGCUUCACAAAUAAAAGAAGUUCAACAGGGACACAGUGCUGGACGGAGUUCUAUCACUUGCGGUGGGUCAGGGUCUGCAGGAGAAUGCACCAACCAGGCUUCUUUCCAACAUAGCUUGCCCCCUUGUCCAUAGCAACUUGAUUCUGAACAUGGCCCUGAAACCUCUCCAUAUAAACCAUGCUUUUACAUAUAUGGGUAUCCUGGCUGUACCAUGUCAGUCACAAGCCAUUUGGAAGCCAAUGGCAGAUGCACAUGGCCCCAACACAGAUGUAUUAUCACACAACUGCACACCACUUCUCUAGGCCCACUACUCUGCAGGCUCUAACUUAAUGGCACCUCUGUUCUACACCAUUUUCAUGAAACCCAGUCAAUCAAGGAACUGUCUGGUACACUCUUGAUCAGCAAAAGGACAUCGAAAGUUUCUCCAGUGCCGCCUGGUCAUGGGAAUUUCAAAAAUUUCAUGGUAUUUAUCUAGCCAUUUUUCAAAGAUGAAGUUGGAAGCACUGUGGGUUUCAAUUCAUUCAGGAACCAAUAAAUGGUGAGGAAGCUCAUUUCAAUGAAAGCUCUGGAGAACUCUCACAGGCAAGGCUUCCCAAAGAGUGGCGAAAAGGUCACAUGAAGCCAGGCCCAUUGAGGUCUACAAUGUGAGGUCCAUGUGUGUUUGGACUCUCAAUUAUGGCUGCCAAGUCUUUCAGAAUAAAAUCAUGUGAUACCCUGGCUGAGAUCCCCAGUGCUCUGUGGAAAGCCACCCUGGGCCUAGAUCUCAGUUUCCAAGGGCGACUCUCAUGCGGGGCCUCCUAAAAUCAUAACACAACUCAUGUCACUACUUCUCUGAGGUCAGUUACAGAAUGCAGUUUCUAAGGGGAAUCACACCAGAGUUCAAGCCCAGAUGCACCCAGUCAUCUCUUCCAAUCGCCACACAAAUGACCACAAUCAAAACCAAAACACUCCCACAUGACCAUCAUCUUCUUCCAUAUAGACACUCAUCAUAACCUCUAGCUGUAUGUUUCCAUGAGGGGUGCAGCACAAGACAGUGUCCAAAAUAGGCUCCCUUUCCCCUCAUUUGCCUAAAGUCUGGGUGGCCUGAAAACACUUCCUGUGAAACAGGAGUGAUCAAAUAGGCCUGCCAUAAAUACUGCUGUGCUUCUCCAAUUUGAGGCCUACUCACUGUCAUGUAUAGAUUCUAUAUGUGAUUUGGAGUCAUGAGACAACCCAAGCACCUAUGGGCUAGCCUCUGCAGGGAUUUGAAGAGCUCAUUUGACCCAAAGGAUCCCUAUUCUCACUUGAUGGAUGUCAGGAACCUUACAGAGGAAGGCAAGACACUUCAUCCACAAUUACUGCACUUUUUGCCAUUUUGGUUUUGGAUGCAAACAUGGGAUCUUUCUUUAGACCCAUCAGGUGCUGAGAAUCUAAGCCACAGCCUCACACAGGGCCAAGAGGCUGAUUCAGACAAGUCCCUUUCCAAAGCAAUUAAGUAAAGAGGCACAGUGAUGGCCAUUGAUUUCCAUUUGAAAACUGUUUUCUUCAGGCUUCACAAAGGGGUGGCCUGAGGAAAAGACCUUCCUGACAUUCAGGGCAACAGAAAAAUAGGUUAGCAAAAGGCCCAAAGGAGGGUUUCUCCACUGAGACUUUCCUGGUCACACUGAUAUCUGAGUUAUCUGAGAUACUCGCAUUCCCUUCAGCUAUCCAGUACAUGGCCAUGUCACAGAGCUUGGAGGUGGUACAUAUCUUGGACACAAAACCAUGAACCUAUUCUGGAGAGUGGCCAGAAUUCAGGAAGAAAACCGGAACUUAGGAAGAUAGUAGGUGUUGCCCAUCCAUAAGGCAAGCCGAAGUCCAUUCAUAAAUUGGGCAGGAUGAAUUCUGGGAAGAUUUCUACUAGACAGGACAUAUUCAUUGAUGCAUUCUCUUUUCUAAUGUCUACAACCAAGGUCACAGAGAGAUGCCCAGACAUAGAAACACUCGGCUUGUCAAAGGACUUACCAGACAUAGUCCACUCCAAACCAAUCAAACCGCCUUUUUUACCUAUUCUUAGAACAUUAGACAAAACCACUAACUCACACCCAGACCCACAAAGGCACCUCGUUCCCACAAAUAGUUCUGUGACUAUCAGGAGUGUCCUACGUCUGGUGGGCCCUACUAUGUUUUCCCGAAAUGGCUUGUCCUGUCUCACAUCUGGUCUCCUUGGCCAACUCCGAAAAGUUGUCUGGAGCAAGCGGUGAACCACUACCUGCUUUCUGAAAAAGUCCAAUCUUCAGAGCACUGCUGGCAUUUGGCAAUCCUCACAUAAGUAGGUACCAAGGAAGACUGACACUGUCCUUUGUUAUUCCAAAAAAAUGAGCCCACUGGUACUGGGACUGGGACUGGCUCUGUGUGCCUGUCUUACUGGAUCCCAAGUUCAGAUAGUUCCAUCACCAAGAAAGUGAGGUAGGUCACUUCAUUCAGGUACAGAAUGAGGUCACUGCCUUGGCAACCACUUUGUCCUAACAGUUACAUUCAAGAGUCCCAAUAGAUGGAGGCUGCCCAUACUUCCUCUGACACUUUCACAAGUUAGAAUAGUAUAUCAACCAUAGGCACCUGGGAACAGCUCUCCACACAGGCCUGGUUUCGUGCAACCUCUCUACAUUAAGAAGAGAGAGGCUGAUUCAGACAAAACCUUUCAUCCUAACCAGGUUGUUUGCCAUGGAAGAUGACUUUUGCUCUCUCAGGUCCUUCAUAGCUGCAUACAUCUUCUCCAUGGAUCAUUUUUGCAUAAACAUUUGAGGUUCUCAGCAGGUGGAAGAUCCCCUACAUUCCUCUUUUGUAAGACCAACUCUGAUCAUGCUCUUCUGUAAAGUUAGAUUGAGGGAACAGUGUAUGGUUAAGGUUAAUAGCAUGUUCGAUUUGAGUUAGGAAUCAUUCUGUGGGAUGAAUAAUGGUUCUUGGAACCUGCGAUAUUUACAAGAAUAUAGAGGUGAAAUAUAAGUAUGAAAACAGAAAUCUAAGUAAGAUUUGAAGCCCCGAAGGGCAUUGGGCCCUUGAUUGGGAUACUUAUCUUUGAAUUAUGUUCUGCACAGUUUUCUCAGAUAAAUCGAUAUGCAAUGGCAUAGGACCCUGUACCUUGGAUUAUUGAAUGUAGAAGAGAACAUCCAGUCAAAAAGGGAUAGUCGGUAGGAUUAGGAUGAUAGUCGAUAGGAUUAGGAAGAAGAGUGACUAUAUGAUUUGGACCAUAAGUUCUUUAGCAAGAGGGUUUCGAGUAGAGAGUGAAUGUAUAUGUCAGCACAUGUGAAAAGUCAGUCACAAUGAUGAACUGGGGAAAUAUGUAGGAAAGUUGAUAUCCAUAGAGACAUUAGGAAAUCAUGCUAAGUAUAAAGUCAGUGAUAGGAUUAUACAUUUUCAACAGGGUUGAGUUUGAAUAUAUAAUCUUAGGAAGAAACAAAUAUGUAGUCACCAAUGGGAUUGACAUUUGAGAGCAUUAGGCAACCUGGACAUGGAUGAUUUUAGUCAUCCAUGCUCACUUUCCAUUUAGGAUUUGGUACAAUCAUAAAUGUGACUUUGCAUUUUGUGUCCAGAAUAUUAUUGUGAUAAAAUGUAUUUGUACAUCAGGUAACAUGAGUAUUUCGUCCACCAAUACUGGGAGCAAUUUUUUGAAGAUAUAUAAAUUAGUAUUGGGAGUACAAAUAGGUGUGCCUUGUGUCUAUGAAUAUAGAGAUAAUGCAUGAAUAGGCCAUACUGUGAAUAAAUAAUACAACUUGCUACAACUUUAAAUAAUGGAUUGAAUUGAUAUCUGAAAAUAUACAGGAAAUCUUAUAUUGAUAUACAUACAUUCAUUACAUCCAGUUUUACAUCUAAUUGUAAUAUUAGGGUUAUGGUUUAUCAUGAAGAGUGUGUGAGGUUUGCUUUAAAAGUGAUUAUGGAAAUCGAAAAUUAUGUGUUUGGAAAGAAGUUUCAUGAAAAGGCCAGUGAAGAAACCUGGAGGAAAUCAUGUGUUCUGAAGCAGGAAAUGAUGGAAACUGAAAGAAAUGCCUAUAAAUUUGUGAACUUGUGGAUCAAAUACAUAUAUUAUGAUGUGCAAAAACUGAAAAAAAAUAGUAAUGUACCAGUGUAGAAUGAAAAUGAACCUCCAAAUACACAUCAUGUCCCAUAGGAAUCUACUUGCAUUGAUGUUAAACUGAAUCAGUUACUGUAGAAAUAUUAGGAUUUGUAUCCACCAUUCAAUGUAGUGAGUUUGUUGUACUAGGAAACAAAUAUGUAUUUCAGGUGGAUGAAUAUUUCUGAGAAAAAUCUUGUGAAAAGUUGAUUAUGAAUCCACAUACAUGAACAUGAAAGAAUUUAGGGAAUGUAUAUAAGACACAUAUAUACAUAUAUUUCAUAUUUUGAAAAAUCCGGAGAAUAUAUAUAUAUAUAUAUAUAUAUAUAUAUAUAUAUAUAUAUAUAUAUAUACAAAACACACACAGACACUAAAAUGUAGCAAUGUAGCAAUAUAUAUGCCAAUCGAAAUUCAUCAUGAAAUAUAUAUCAUCCACAGAUGGAAAAAUAUAUAUUUUAAUGAAAAUGGAUUUAUGUAUAAUAUUCCACUAGGAAGGUCACCCAUAGGUUGAAUUUUCAGUUCCAACAGGGUUUAGGAGGAGUGAUCUCUUCUCACAAUUUGUAUCUGCCAAUGCAGGCACUCACAAUAAUGUACUUGUGAUACCAGGUAGGAUUCUAUAUGUGCAUAUAAAAAUACAUGUGAUGAAUAGGCUACAGAGAAAGGGAGACAGGAAUUCACAUAUUUGUUAACUUUAAAAACACAUGCAGAAAUAUUUCAAUUAAAAAAUGACUAGAUUUAUAACACCUACCCUUUGUCUUGCAAAAGCAAGUCCAAUAUACACCAUGUCUCCUCUGAACUGCUUGUAUUUCAAUUCUGUUUGGGUAAUUUUUCUCCAUCAUAUUACUAUUAGUAGUUAGAGUAUAGUAGGGUAUGGGUGAGUGUCAGGGAUUCAGUAUUUCGAAUGGAAAAUUGGAAAAUGAAUCCAAUGUGUAUGCAAUUAUGUGCUACACAAAAAACUUCCCACUCUCAUCCAGAACAAUGCCUUGACAUUACCUUCGCCCCAAGUAAGACACAAUUAGAGGAGAUGAGUUAGAAAAUAUGUGAAUACAUAUCUGCAAUGGAAAAUGAUCAGGAGUUCACAACUUCGGAGGUGGUAGAGGAAUAUCCAAAACUAAGGGACAGGGUAAACACUCCACAUACAUGGAGCUCUGCUAGACUAAAUACUUCUUGAGAAACUGCCUCUGUGGUUGGACACUUGAAAUAUAUGUUGUUGUCAGGAACUUUAUGUUCCUUUGUAAUGAGAACAUCAAAGCUGGCCCUGCAUCUAUGUGACCUGGAGGAUAUUGCUUCUUAUUGUCCAAUGAACAUGAGGCAGCAGUGCCGAAUUCUCUCUUUGUAGGUAAACUGUGGCCACUGGGGGCUAAGUGUCUCCCCGUGUGAAGCCAUUUGGUAAUCCUCCUCUUUCCAUGGUGUUUCUUGCUCCUGCACUGGGUGUUUUGUAUUUUCUUCAUGAAAUACAAGGAGUUCAACUGGGACACAGUGCUGGAGGGAGUUCUGUUACAUGUGGUGUGUCAGGGUGUGCAGGAGAAUGCACCAAAGAGGCUUCUAUCCCACAUAGCUUUCUCCUUGACCAUAGCAACCUUAUUCUGAACAUUGCCCUGAAACCUCUCAAUAUAACAAGAUUCCUUUACAAAUAAGAGUCUGCUGGCUGCACCAUGUCAGCCGCAAGCCAUUUGGAAGUCAAUGGGAGAUCCACAUGGCCCCACCACAGAUAUUUUUUCACACACCUGCACACCACAGCUCUUAACCCACUACUCAGCAGUCUCCAACUUAUAGGCAUCUCUGUUCUACACCAUUUUCAUGAAACCCAGUCAAUUAAGGCAAGAUCUGGUACACUCAUGAUCAGCAACAGGACAUCCAAAGGUUCUCCAGUGCCAACUGGUCAUGGGAAUUUCAAAAAUUUCAUGGUAUUUAUCUAGCCAUUUUUCAACGAUGAAGUUGGAGGCACUGUGGGUUUCAAUUCAUUCAGGAACCAUUAAACGUUGAGGAAGUUCAUUUCAAUGGAAGCUCUGGAGAACUCUCACAGGAAAGGCUUCCAAAAGAGUGGCCAAAAGGUCACAUGAAGCCAGGCCCAUUGAGGUCUAAAAUGUGAGGUCCAUGUGUGUUUUGACUCUCAACUAUUGCAGCCAAGUCUUUCAGAAUAAAAUCAUGUGAUAUCCUGGCUGAGAUUCCCAGUACUCUGUGGAAAGCCACCCUGGGCCUAGAUCUCAUUUUCCAAGGGCGAAUCUCAUGUGUGGCCUCCUAAAAUCCCAACACAAUUCAUGGCAAUACUUCUUUGCGUUCAGUUCCAGAACGCAGACUCUAAGGGGAAUCACACCAGAGUUCAAGCCCAGGGUGACCCAGUCAUCUCUUCACACCGCCAAACAAAUGACCAGAAUUAAAACCAAAACACUCCCACAUGGCCCCCAUCUUCUUGCAUAUAGACACUCAACAGUACCUCUGGUUGGAGCGUUCCAUGAGGGGCACAUUCCAAGAGAGUGUCCAAAAUAAGCUCCCUUGAUCCUCAUUUGGCUAAUGUCAGGGUGGGCUAGAAACCCUUCCUGUGAACCAGGAGUGAUCAAAUAGGCCUGCCCUUAAUACUGCUCCGCUUCUCCAAUUUGCGAUCUUCUGACUGUGGGGUUUAGAUUCUUUAUGUGAAUUGGAGUCAUGAGAAAAGACAAGCACCUCUGCAGAGUUUUGAAGAACUCAUUUGACCCAAAGGAUUCCUAUUCUCACUUGAUGGAUUUCAGGAACCUAACAGAGGAAGGCAAUAGAAUUCAUUCACAAUGACUGAACUUUUUACCAUUUUGGUUUUGGAUGAACACAUGGGAUCAUUCUUUAGACCCAUCAGGUGCUGAGAAUCUAAGCCACAGCCUCACACAGGGCCAAGAGGCUGAUUCAGACACGUCCGUUUCCAAAGCAAUUCAGCAAAGAGGCCACGGUGAUGGCCAUUGAUUUCCAUUUGAAAACUGUUUUCUUCAGGCUUCACAAAGGGGUGGCCUGAGGCAAAGACCUUUCUGACAUUCAGGGCAACAGAACAAUAGGUUAGCAAAAGGCCCAAAGGAGGGUUUCUCCACUGAGACUUUCCUGGUCACAUUGAAAUCUGAGUUAUCUGAGAUACUCGCAUUCCCUUCAGCUAUCCAGUACAUGGCCAUGUCACAGAGCUUGGAGGUGGUACAUAUCUUUGACACAAAACCAUGAGCCUAUUCUGGAGAGUGGCCAGAUUUCAGGUAGAAAACAGGAUCUUAGGAAGAUAGUAGGUGUUGCCCAUUGAUAAGGCAACCUGCAGUCCAUUCCUAAAAUGGGCAGGAUGAAUGCUGGGAAGCUUUCUACUAUACAGGACAUAUCCAUUGUUGCAUUGUCUUUUCUCAUGUCUAGAACGACAGACACAGUGGGAUACACAGACAUAGAAACACUCACCUUGUCAAACGACUUACUAGAGACAGUUCAUUCCAAAUGAAACAAACAGUCUUUCCUACCUAUUCUCAGAACAUGAGACAAAAACAAAAACCCACACUCACAAAGGCACCUCCUUCCCCCAAGUAGGUCUGUGACUAUCUGGUGUGUCGUCUGAAUGGUGGGCGAUACUAUGUUCUCCCGAAAUGGCCUGUCCUCUCUCAGAUCUGGUUUCCUUGGCCAACUCUGUGAAGUUGUCAGGAAUAAGUGGUGAGCCACUACCUGCUUUCUCAGGAAAGGUCCCUCUUCAGAGCUUUCCUAACAUUUGGCCAUCCUCAUAUCAGUAGGUACCAAGAAAGACUGACUCUGUCCUUGGUAAAUCCAAACAAGUGAGCCCACUGGGACUGGGACUGGGACUGCUUCUGGGUGCCUGGCUUCUUGGAUACCAAGUUCAGAGUGUUCCAUCAACAAGGAAAUGUGGUAUGUCACUUUCUUUGGAACUGAAUGAGGUCACUGCCUUGGCAACCCCCUUGUCCUAACAGUUGUUUCCAAGGGUCCCAUGAGAUGGAGGCUGCCCCUACUUCCUCUGACACUUUCACUAUUUAGAAUGGUAUAUCAACCAUAGGCACUCGGGAAUAGCUCUCCACACAGUCCUGGUUUGGUCCAUCUUCUCUACAAUAAGAAGUGAGAGGCUGAUUCAGACACAUCAGUUCAUCCUGACCAGAUUGUUUGCCAUGGAAGAUGACUAUUGCUCUCUCAGGUCCUUCAUACCUGCCUACAACUUCUCCAGGUAUCAUUUCUGCAUGGAUCUUUGAGGUUAUCAGCAGGUGGAAGGUACCCUACUUUCCUGUAUUGUAAGAACAACUCUGUCCCUGCUCUUCUAUAAAAUGAGAUUGAGGGAACAGUGUAUGUUUAGGGUUAAUAACAGGUUCGAUUUGGGUUAGGAAUCAUUCUGCACAAUGAAUAAUGGUAUUGGGAACCUGCGAUAUUUACAAGAAUAUAGAGGUGAAAUAUAAGUAUGAAAACAGAAAUCUAGUUUUGAUUUGAAACCCAGAAGGUCAUUGGGCCCUAGAUUGGGAUACUAGCUUUGAAGUAUGUUCUGCACGGAUGUCUCAGAUAAUUCUAUAUACAAUGGCAUAGGACUUUGUACCUUGGAAGAUUGAAUGUAGAAGAGAACAUCAAGUCAAAAAGGGAUAGUCGGUAGGAUUAGGAAGAUAGUCGGUAGGUUUAGGAAGAAGAGUGAGUAUAUGAUUUGGACCAAAAGAUCUUUAGCAAUAGGGUUCGGUUAGAGAGUGAAUGUAUAUGUCAGCACAUAUGAAGAGUCAGUGACUAUGAUGAACUGGGGAAAAUAUGUAGAAAAGCAGAUAUCAAUAGAGAUAUUAUGAAAUCAGGAAAAGUAUAAAGUGAGUGAGAGGAUUAGACAUUUUUAACAAGGUUGAGUUUGAAUAUAUAAUCUUAGGAAGAAAGAAAUAUGUAGUUACCAAUAGGAUUGACAUUUGAUCGCAUUAGGCAACCUGGACAACUUACUGGCAUCUCUUUUCUGUACCAUUUUCAUGAAACCCAGUCAGUCAAGGCACUUUCUGGUAUACUCAUGAUCAGAAACAGGACAUCCAAAUGUUCUCAAGUGCCACCUGCUCAUGGGAAUUUUAAAUAUUUCAUGGUAUUUAUCUAACAAUUUUUCAAGGAUGAAGUUGGAUGCACUGUGGGUUUCAAUUCAUUCAGGAACCACUAAAUGUUGAGGAAGCUCAUUUCAAUGAAAGCUCUCGAGAACUCUCACAAGCAAGGCUUCCCAAAGAGUGGCCAAAAGUUCACAUGAGGCCAGGCCCAUUGAGGUCUACAAUGUGAGGUCCAUGUUUGUUUUGACUCUCAACUAUGGCUGCCAAGUCUUUCAGAAUAAAAUCAUGUGACAUCCUGGAUGAGAUUUCAGUGCUCUGUGGAAAGCAACCCUGGCCCAAGACUCAUUUUCCAAGGGCUACCCUCAUUCGUGGACUCCUAAAAUCGCAACACAAUUCAUUGCAAUACUUCUCUGAGGUCAGUUCCAGAAAUCAGUCUCUAAGGGGAAUCACACCAGAUUUCAAACCCAGGUGGAUAUAUUCAUCUCUUCCAACCGCCACACAAGUGACCACAAUUAAAACCAAAACACUCCCACAUGGCCCUCAUCUUCUUCCAUAUAGACACUCAUCAUAACCUCUGGCUGGAGGUUUCCAUGAGGGUCACAGCCCAAGACAGUGUCCAAAAGAAGCUCCCUUACCCCUCAUAUGCCUAAAGGCCCGGACUCCCUUCCUGUGAACCAGGAGUGAUCAAAUAUGCCGGCUGUUAAUACUGCUCCACUUCUCCAAUUUGUGGACUAGUGACUGUGGGGUUUAGAUUCUUUAUGUGAAUUGGAGUCAUUAGAAAACCCAAGCACCUAUGGGCAAGAUUCUGCAGGGUUUUGAAGAACUCAUUUGACCCAAAGGAUUCCUAUUCUCACUUGAUGGAGGCAGGAACAUUACAGAGGGAGGCGAAAGACUUCAUCCACAAUGACUGCUCUUUUGGUCAUUUUGGUUUUGGAUACACACAUGGGAUCUUUCUUUAGACCAAUCAGGUGCUGAGAAUCUAAGCCACAGCCUCACACAGGGCCAAGAGGCUGAUUCAGACACACCAGUUUACAAAGCAAUUAAGCAAAUAACCCAAGGUGAUGCCCAUUCAUUUCCAUUUGAAAACUGUUUUCUUCAGGCUUCAGAAAGGGGUGGCCUGAGGCAAAGACCUUCCUGACAUUCAGGGUAACAGACAAAUAGGUAAGCAAAAGACCCAAAUCAGGGUUUCUCCACUGAGACUGUCCUGGUCACACUGAUAUCUGAGUUUUCUGAUAUGCUCCAAUUCCCUUCAGCUAUCCAGUACAUAGCCAUGUCACAGAGCUUGGAGGUGGUACAUAACGUGGACACCAAAUCAUGAGCUUAUUUUGGAUAGUGGAUAGAAAUCAGGAAGAAAACAGGAACUUAGGAAGAUUGUAGGUGUUGCACAUCCAUAAAGCAAGCCAUAGUCCAUUCAUCAAUUGGGCAGGAUGAAUGCUGAGAAGCUUUCUACUAGACAUGACACAUCCAUUGAUGCAUUCUCUUUUCUAAUGUCUACAACCACAGACACAGUGGGAAACACAGACAUAGAAACACUCGCCUUGUCAAAGGACUUACUAGACACAGUCCAUUCCAAACCAAACAAACUGCCUUUCCUACCUCUUCUUAGAACAUGAGACAAAACGAAAAACUCACACCCACACCCACAAAGGCAACUCCUUCCCCCUAGUAGGUAUGUGAUUACCCAGAGAGUCCUCUGACUGGUGGGCCAUUUUAUUUUCCCCCGAAAUGGCCUGUCCUGUCUUAGAUCUGGUCUCCUUGGCCAACUCUGUGAAGUUGUCAGGACCCAGCAGUGAGCCACUACCUGCUUUCUGAGUAGAGGCCCGUCUUCAGAGCUCUCCUGGCAUUUGGCCAUACUCACAUCAGUAUUUACCUAGAAAGACAGACUCUGUCCUUGGUAAAUCUAAACAAGUGAGACCACUGGGACUGGGACUGGGAAUGCUUCUGGGUGCCUGGCUUCCUGGAUUCCAAGUUCAGAGAGUUCCAUCACCAAGGAAAUUAGGUGAGGUCACUUCCUUCAAAAACUGAAUGAGGUCACUGCCUUGUCAACAACUUUGUCCUAACAGUUGCUUCCAAGGGUCUCAUGAGAUGGAGGCUGCCCCUAUUUCCUAUGACAAUUUCACAAGAUAGAAUGUUAUAUCAACCAUAGGCACCUGGGAAGAGCUCUCCACACAGGCCUGGUUUGGUCCAUCUUCUCUACAUUAAGAAGAUAGAUGCUGAUUCUGACACAUCCCUUCGUCCUGACCAAGUUUUUUGCCAUGGAAGAUGACUUUUGCUCUCUCAGGUCCUUCAUAGUUCCCUAAAUCUUCUCCAGGGAUCAUAUCUACAUGGAACUUUGUGCUUCUCAGCAGGUGAAAGAUUCCCUACAUUCCUGUAUUGUAAGACCAACUCUGUGCCUGCUCUUUUGUAAAGUUAGAUUGAGGGAACAGUGUGUGGUUAGGGUUAAUAACAGAUUCGAUUUGGGUUAGGAAUCAUUCUGCUGGAUGAAUAAUGGUAUUGGGAUCCUGUGAUAUUUAUUAGAAUAUAGAGGUGAAAUAUAAGUAUGAAAACAGAAUUCUAGGUAAGAUUUGAAGCCCAGAAGGGCAUUAGGCACUGGAGUUGGAUACUUAUAUUUGAACUAUGUUCUGCACAGAUGUCUCAGAUAAAUCGACAUACAAUGGCAAAGGACCAUGUACCUUGGUUGAUUGAAUGUCUAUGAGAACAUCCAGUCAAAAAGGGAUAGUCGGUAGCAUUAGGAAGAUAGUGUAGGAUUAGAUAGAAGAGUGAUUAUAGGAUUUGGACCAAAAGUUCUUUAGCAAUAGAGUUUUGGUUAGAGAGUGAAUGUAAAUGUCAGCACAUGUGAAGAGUCGGUCACAGUGAUGAACUGGGAAAAAUAUGUAGGAAAGCAGAUAUCAAUAGAAACAUUAGGAAAUCAGGCAAAGUAUAAAAUGAGUGAUAGGAUUAGACAUUUUCAACAGGCUUGAGAUUGAAUAUAUAAUAUUAGGAAUAAACAAAUUUGUAGUCACCAAUAGGAUUGACAUUUGAGAGCAUUAGGCAACCUGGACAUGGAUGUUUUUAAUAAUCCAUGUUGACUUCCUAUUUAGGAUUUGGUACAAUCAUAAGUGUGACAUUUGCUUUUUGUGUCCAGAAUAUUACACUGAUAAAAUGUAUAUGUAGAUCAGGUGACAUGAGUAUUUCUUCCACCAUUUCUGGGAGCAAUAUAUUGAAGACACAUAAAUUAGUAUUGGGCGUACAAAUACAAAUACAAAUACACCCUGUGUCUAUAAAUAUAGAGAUAAUGCAUGAAUAGACCAUAGUGUGAAUAAAUAAUAUAACUGGUUUCAACUUUAAAUAAUGGAUUGAAGUGAUAUCUGAAAAUAUACAAUAAAUUUUAUAUUGAUAUACAUACAUUCAUUCAAACCAUUUAUACAUCUAUUGGUAAUAUUAGGGUUAUGGUUUAUCAUGAAGGGUGUGUGAGUUUUGCUUCAAAAUUGAUUAUGGAAAUCGAAAAUAAUGUGUUUGGAAAGAAGUCUCAUGAAAAGACCAGUCAAGACACCUGGAGGAAUGCAUGUUUUCUGAAGCAGGAAUUGACUGAAAGUGAAACAAAUGCCCAUAAAUUUGUGAAUUUGUGGAUGAAAUAUAUAUCCUAUGAUGUCCAUAAUAUGAAGAAAUAUUAAUGUACCAGUGUUGAAUAAAAAUGAAUGUCAAAAUACACACCUUGUCCCAUCAGAAUCUACUUGCAUUGAUGUUAAACUGGGUCAGUUACUGUAGAUAUGUUAGUUUUUGUAUGCACCAUUCAUUCAACUUAGUGUUCAGUACUAGGAUACAAACAUGUUUUUCAGGUGGAUGAAUAUUUCUGAGAAUAAUCUUGUGAAAAGUUGAUUAUAAAUCCAAGUCCAUGAACAUGAAUGAAUUUAGGGAGUGUAAAUAAGACACAUAUAUUUCAUAUUUUGAAAAAUCUGGAGAGUGUAUAUAUAUAUAUGUGUGUGUAUAUAUAUAUAUUGUGUGUGUGUGUGUGUGUAUAUAUAUAUAUAUAUAUAUAUAUAUAUAUAUAUAUAUAUACAAAACACACACAUUAAAAAUUAGCAAUAUAUAUGCCAAUCGAAAUUCAUCAUUAAAUAUAUAUCAUCCACAGAUGAAAAAAUAUAUAUUUUACUGAACAUGGAUUUAUGUAUAAUGUUGCUCUACCAGGGAGCUCAACCAUAGGUUGAAUUUUGAGUUCCAACAGCAUUUAAGAGGAGUGAUCUUUUUUCACAAUUUGUAUCUGCCAAGUCAGCCACCUCACAAAAAUGUACCUGUGAUACCAGGUAGGAUUCUAUAAGUGCAUAUAAAAAUACAUGUGAUCUAUAGGAUACAGAGAAAGGGAGACAGGAAUUCACAUAUUUGUUAAUUUUAAAAACACAUGGAGAACUAUUUAAAUUGAAAAUUGAAUAGAUUUAUAACACCUACCGUUUAUAAUGCAAAAGGCAAGUCCAACUAUACAACAUGCCUCCUCUGAACUGCUUGUAUUUCUAUUCUGUUUGCGUUAUUUUUCUCCAUCAUAUUAGGAUUAGUAGUCAGAGUCUAGUAGGGUAUGUGAAUAUAUCUGAGAAUAAUCUUGUGAAAAGAUGAUUAUAAAUCCACAUUCAUGAAUAUGAAAAAUUUAGGAAGUGUAAAAUAAGACACAUAUAUUUCAUAUUUUGAAAAAUCUGGAGAGUGUGUGUGUGUAUAUAUAUAUAUAUAUAUAUAUAUAUAUACACACAUUCACUCUCUCUCUCUCAUAUACAUUCACAUACAUUAAAAAGUAGCACUAUAUGCCAAUUCAAAAUCACCAUGAAAUAUAUAUCAUCCACAGAUCCAAAUAAAUUCAUUUUACUGAACAUGGAUUUAUGUAUAAUGUUGUUCAACUAGGAAGCUCACCCACAGGUUGAAUUUUCAGUUUCAGCAGCGUUUAGGAGGAGUGAUCCCUUGUCACAAUUUGUAUCUGCCAAUUCAGCCACCACAUGAGAAUGUACGUGUGGUAACAGGUAGUAUUCUAUCUGUGCAUAUAAAAAUACAGUUCCUGAACAGGCUUCAGAGUAAGGGAGACAGGAAUUCACAGAUUUCUUAAUUUUUAAAAUAUAUGGAGAACUAUUUAACAAAAAUGACUUGAUUUAUGAAUCCUACCCUAUAUAAUGCAAAAGGCAAGUACAACUAUACACCAUACCUCCUCUGAACUUCUUGUAGUUCUAUUCUUUUUGGGUUAUUUUUCUCCAACAUAUUAGGAUUAGUAGUCAGAGUCUAGUAGGGUAUGUGUUAAUGUCAGGGAUUCAGUAUUUCGAAUGGAAAAUUGGAAAAUUAAUCCAAUGUGUAUGCAAAUAUGUGCUACACAAAAAUCUUCCAACUUUCAUCCAAAACAAUGCCUUGACAUUACCUUUGCCCCAAGUAAGACACAAUUAGAGGAGAAGAGUUUGAAAAUCUGUGAAUACAUAUCUGGAAUGGAAUAUGAUCAGGAUUUCACAACCAUGGAGGUGGUAGAGAAGUUUCCAAAAGUAAGGGAAAGAGUUAAUACUCCACAAACAUGGAGCUCUGCUGGCCUAAAGACUUCUUGAGAAACUGGCUCUGAGUUUGGGCUUUUGAAAUAUAUGUUGUUGUCAGGAGCUUUUGCUUCCUUUCUAGUGAGACAAUCAAAGCUGGGUCAGCAUCUAUGUGACCUGGAGGACAUAAAUUGUAAUAUUCCAAUGAACAUGAGGGAGCAGUCUGAAUUCUCCCUUUGUAGGUAUACUGUGGCCACUGGGGGCUAAGUGUCUCCCCGUGUGGACUGUAUACUCAUUUGUUCCUCUUCCACUCUUCAUUGUGUUUCUUGCUGCUGCACUGGGAGUUUGGUAUUUUCUUCACGAAAUACAUGGAGCUCAACUGGGACACAGUGCUGGUGGGAGUUCUGUCACUUGUGAUGGGUCAGGGUCUGCAGGAAAAUGCACCAACCAGGUUUCUAUCCCACAUAGCUGAUUCUGAACAUUGCCUUGAAACCUCUCCAUAUAUAAAGAUGCCUUUACAUAGAAAAGUCUGCUGGCUGCACCAUGUUAGUCACAAGCCAUUUGGAAUCCAAUGGUAGAUCCUCAUGGCCCUACAACAGAUGUUUUAUCACACAUAUGCCCACCACUUCUCUGGGCCCACUACUCAGUAGGAUCCAACUUACAGGCAUCUCUGUUCUACACCAUUUUCAGGAAACCCAGUCAAUCAAGGCACUCUCUGGAAUACUCAUGAUCAGCAACAGGACAUCCAAAGUUUCUCCAGUGUCACCUGGUCAUUGGAUUUUCAAAGAUUUAAUGGUAUUUAUAUAGCCAUUUUUCAAGGAUGAAGUUGGAGGCACUGUGGGUUUCAAUUCAUUUAGGAAACAUUAAAUGAUGAGGAAGCUCAUUUCAAUGAAUGUUCUGGAGAACUCUCACAGGCAAAGCUUCCCAAAGAGUGGCCAAAAGGUCACAUGAAGCCAGGCCCAUUGAGGUCUACAAUGUGAGGUCCAUGUGUGUUUUCACUCUCAACUAUGGCUGUCAAGUCUUUAAGAAUAAAAUCAUGUGAUAUCCUGGCUAGGAUUCCCAGUGCUCUGUGGAAAGCCAUCCUGGGCCUAGAUCUCAGUUUCCAAGGGUGACUCUCAUGUGUGGCUUCCUAAAAUCCAAACACAUUUCAUGGCAAUACUUCUCUGAGGUCAGUUCCAGCACUCAGUCUCUAAGGGGAAUCACACCAGAGUUCAAGCCCAGGUGGACCCAGUCAUCUCUUCCAACCACCACACAAAUGACUGCAAUUAAAACCAAAACACUCCCCCAUGGCCCUCAUAUUCUUCCAUAUAGACACUCAUCAUAACCUCUGGCUGCAGGUUUCCAUGAGGGGCACAGCCCAAGACAGGGUCCAAAAUAAGCUCCCUUACCCCUCAUUUGCCUAAAGUCAGGGUGGCCUGGAGACACUUCCUGUGAACCAGGAGUGAUCAAAUAGGCCUGCCGUUAAUAUUGCUCUAUUUCUCCACUUUGAGGCCUACUGACUGUGGGGUUUAGAUUCUUUAUGUGAAUUGGAGUCAUGAGAAAACCCAAGCUCCUAUGGGAUAGCCUCUGCAGGGCUUUGAAGAACUCAUUUGACCCAAAGGAUCCAGAUUCUCACUUGAUGGAGGUCAGGAACCUUACAGAGGAAGGCGAGAGACUUCAUCCACAAUGACUGCUCUUUUUGCCAUUUUGGGUUUGGAUGCACACAUGGGAUCAAUCUUUAGAUCCAUCAGGUGCUGAGAAUCUAAGCCACAGUCUCAAACAUGGCCAAGAAGCUUAUUCAGACACAUCCCCUUCCAAAGCAUUUAACCAAAGAGCCACAGGUGAUGCACAUUGAUUUCCAUUUGAAAACUGUUUUUUUUUUUCAGGCUUCCUAAAGUUUGGCCUCAGGCAAACAAAUUCAUGACAUGAAGGGCAACAGAACAAUAUGUAAGCAAAUGGCCCAAAGCAGGAUUAUCCACUGAGACUUUCCUGGUCACACUGAUAUCUGAGUUUUCUGAGAUGCUCGCCAUUCCCUUCAGGUAUCCAGUACAUGGCCAUAUCACAGAGCUUGCAGGUGGUACAUAUCUUGGACACAAAACCAUGAGUCUAUUCUGGAGAGUGUCCAGAUAUCAGGAAGAAAAAGGAACUUAUGAAGAUAGCAGGUGUGGCCCAUUGAUAAGGCAAGCCUCAGUCCAUGCAUAAAUUGGGCAGGAUGAACUCUUGGAAGCUCUCUAAUAGACAGGACACAUCCAUUGAUGCAUUCUCUUUUCUAAUGUCUACAACCAUGAACACAGUGGGAUACACAGACAUAGAAACACUCGCAUUGUCGAAGGACUUACUAGAAUCAGUUCAAUCCAAACCAAACAAACCGCCUUUCCUACCUAUUCUCAGAACAUGAGACAAAACCUUAAACCCACACCCACACCCACAAAUGCACCUCUUUCCCCCAAGUAGGUGUGUGACUAUAAGGAGUGUCCUCUGACUGGUGGGCCGUACUAUAUUUCCCCGAAAUAGGCUGUCCUGUCUCACAUCUCGUCUACUUGGCCAACUCUGUGAAGUUGUCAGGAGCCAGCGCUGAGCCACUACCUGCUUUCUCAGGAAAGGCCCCUCUUCAGAGCUUUCCUGGCAUUUGGCCAUCCUUACAUCAGUAGGUACCAAGAAAGACUGACUCUGUCCUUGGUAAAUCCAAACAAGUGAGCCCACUGGGACUGGGACUGGGACUGCCUCUGGGUGCAUGGCUUCCUGGAUCCCAAGUUCAGAGAGUUCCAUCACCAAGGAAGUGAGGAAAGUCACUUCCUUCAAGAAUUGAUUGAGGUCACUGCCUUGGCAACCACCUUGUCCUAACAGUUGCUUCCAAGGGUCCCAUAAGAUGGAGGCUGCCCCUACUUCCUGUGACACUGUCACAAGUUAGAAUGGUAUAUCAACCAUUAUGAAAUCAGGCAAAGUAUAAAGUGUGUGAUGGGAUUAGACAUUUUCAACAGGAUUGAGUUUGAAUAUAUAACCUUAGGAAAAAACAAAUAUUUAUUCCCCAACAGGAUUGACAAUUGGGAGCAUUUGGCAACCUGGACAUGGAUGUUUUUAGUAAUUCAUGUUCACUUUCCAUUUAGGCUUUGGUACAAUCCUAUUUGUGAUCUUUGUAUUUUGUGACCAGAAUAUUACUGUGAUAAAAUGUAUAUGUAGAUCAGGUAAAAUGAGUAUUUCUUCCACCAUUUCUUGGAGCAAUAUUUUGAAGAUGUAUAAAUUAGUAUUGUGGGUUAAAAUAGAUGUACCCUGUGUCUAUGAAUAUAGAAAUAAUGCAUGAAUAGACCAUACUGUGAAUAAAUCAUAUAACUUUUUCCACCAUUAAAUAACGGUUUGAAUUGAUAUCUGAAAAUAUUCAGGAAAUCUUAUAUUGAUAUGCAUACAUUCCUUCCAACCAGUUAUACAUCUAAUGGUAAUAUUAGGGUUAUGGUUUAUCAUGAAGCGUGUGUGAGUUUUGCUUCAAAAUUGAUUAUGGAAUUAAAAAUAAUGUUUUUGGAAAAAAGUCUCAUGAAAAUAUCAGUCAAGAAACAUGGAGGAAUACAUGUGUUCUGAAGCAGGAAGUGAUUGAAAGUGAAACAAAUGCCUACAAAUUUGUGAAAUUUGGGAUGAAAUAUAUAUCCUAUGAUGUGCAUAAACUAAAGAAAUAGUAAUGUACCAGUGUUGAAUAAAAAUAAAUGUCAAAAUACACAUCAUGUCCCAUAGGAGUAUACUUGCAUUGACGUUAAACUGGGUCAGUUACUCUAGAAAUAUUAGGAUUUGUAUGCACCUUUCACCGAAGUUAGUUUUCAGUACUAGGAAACAAAUAUGUAUUUCAGGUGGAUGAAUAUUUCUGAGAAUAAUCUUGUGAAAAAUUCAUUAUAAAUCGAAAUACAUGAACAUGAAUGAAUUUAUGCAGUGUAUUUAAGACCCAUAUAUUUCAUAUUUUGAAAAAUCUGGAGUGUAUAUAUAUAUAUAUAUAUAUAUAUAUAUAUAUAUAUAUAUAUAUACACACACACAAAACACACAGAGAGAGAUUAAAAUGCAGCAAUACGUAUGCUAAUCAAAAUUCAUCAUGAAAUAUAUAUCAUCACCAGAUGCAAAAAUAUUUAUUUUACUGAUCACGGAUUUAUGUAUAAUGUUGUUCUACUAGGAAGCUCACCCAUAGGUUCAAUUUUCAGUUCCAACAGCGGUUAGGAGGAGUGAUCUCUUAUCACAAUUUGUAUCUGCCAAGUCAGACACACACAAAAAUUUACCUGUGAUACCAGGUAGGAUUCUAUAUGUGCAUAUAAAAAUACAUGUGCUGAAUAGGCUAUAGAGAAAGGGAGACAGGUGUUCACAUACUUGUUAACUUUAAAAACACAUGGAGAACUAAUUUAACCAAAAAUUGACUAGAUUUAUAACACCUACUCUUUAUCAUGCAAAAGGCAAUUCCAAAUAUACACCAUGCCUCCACUGAACUGCUUGUAUUUCUAUUCUGUUUGGGUUAUUUUUCUCCAUCAUAUUAGAAUUAGUAGUCAGAGUCUAGUAGGGUACAGGUUAGUGUCAUGGUUUCAGUAUUUUGAUUGGAAAAUAGGAAAAUUGCCUCAGUCUGGCUGGGCACAAAUCACGAUCCACUGAAGCAGGAACAAACUUUAUUUUUGAACUGCAAGAAAAAAACUCACUCACACUCCUGGGGAAUUCUCAUUGCCACACGGCUUGUCCAGGAGAACCCCCAGCCUGAAAUAUCUCUCCCGGCAAUCCCUCCUCCUGCACUUCCCCAACCAAUGGGAACUCUUGGGGAAUCCACGGAAAUCCCUAUGGCUCUUAAAUCUUCCAAUAAUCUCCAUUUACCAGAUUUCUUUUUAAUGACAAAAAUGGGAGUAUUAUAGGGAGAUGCAGAAGGUUGUAUGUGUCCCUCCACUAAUUGUUGUUUGACUAGGUCAUGGGCUGCUUGUAUCUUUUCUUUAGUCAGGGGCCACUGAGGAACCCAUACUGGUCUAUCUGAUUUCCAAGUAAUUUUUACUGCCUCAGUGACCCCUUCUGAAAACCCAGUCAGUCCAUGUCUAUUUAUUCCUUGAUCUAUUUGAAUUGGUGCUGCUAUACCUUGUUCUCCUAAACUUUUUUCUUUCCUGAAAUUUUGUCUAGCCCUAAUAGUGGGCACAUUUGGAUUGAUGUUAUUUGUUAAUGUCAAACCUAAUUGAUCUAGGACGUCUCGUACCCAUAAAUUUAUAGGAAGAUGAUCCAAUACAUAUGGCUGUAUAGUUCCUUCACAUCCUUCAGGAUCCUUCCAAUCUAAUACCAUUGCACUUCUUUGGGGAUUAGUUGCCACUCCUAGGCCUCGAAGCGUUUGAGUGGCUUGUUGUAAUGGCCAAUGUUUUGGCCAUUCUUGACAAGAUACGAUGCUAAGGUCUGCACCUGUAUCCAGUAGUCCAUUAAAUUCAUGUCCUUGAAUAUUUAGUUUUAUCAUUGGGGGAGAAUCUGAAUUCAAAGACAGCAUAGCCCAAUCUACACCUGUGGAGCCUAUUCCCCUGGAACCUCUUUCUAUACUACUACUGGAAAAUUUAUCAUGUAGGCUGGGUAUUAUUAAUAACUGUGCUAUUCUAUCUCCUGGUGAAAUUACUGAUAUACCCUUUGGAUAACUGGCUAUAAUUUUUAUUUCACCUUCAUAAUCAGGAUCAAUUACCCCAGGACUUAUCAUAAUUCCUUUUAGAGUAGAAGAGCUGCAUCCCAAUAAUAAGCCUACUGUUCCUUUGGGAAGAAGUCCUUUCACCCCUGUGGGAAUGAUUUGAACUCCCAUCUCUGGAGUUAGUACUGCUCUGGCGGAGGCGCAGAUGUCCAACCCUGUGCUCCCUCUGGUUCAUCUGAUGAGAGAUCUGAUGGAUAAUGUGUCCUGGGCACUACCCUGAUGAUGUUGCUGGGUUCCUCCAUGGUGUUUCUGGGUUCCUCCAGUGCCCCAUACAUUUGUGGUCAUGGGCCCUGGAGCAUUGGGCCCCCCUGUCCGUUUUUUUGGCAAUGGAGCCCGAUGCCUUUCUCCAUGAUAUCGUUGGUAAACACCUGGUCCUUGUUCAUUUUUUGAUAAUGGAGUACCCUCUAUGGUGGUUUGAGAAUGGCAUUCAUUAGCCCAAUGUCUCCCUCUACGGCAUCGUGGGCAAAUACCGGGUAUUCUAUUCCUUUGAUACCUAGCUUUGUUAAAUCCUCCUCCUCUGGGGCAACUCCUUUUAAAAUGUCCUGGUUGUUCACAAUUGUAGCAUUUUUUUGGCCUGGCAUCUAAAGCCUGUUGUACUGCUGCCAAGACUUGUCCUUGUUCAUUAAUGUCUCUACAUAAUUUAAUAUAUGUGUUUAAAUCUUUAUGUCUCCAUGGUCUAAUGACCUCUCUGCAGCAACGAUUUGCUUGGUCAUAAGGCAGUUGUUUUAUAAAUGGCAUUGCUUGUUUUGUAUCCCCAAAAAUUCUGGAAGCUGCUUGAAUAAGCCUAUCUACAAAUUCAUUUUAAAGUUCAUUAGUUCCUUGUAUUACCUUAGAUAACUGACCUUGUAAAUCUCUAUGCCCCUGUAAAGUUUUCCAUGCCCUAACCGCAUCUACAGCAAUUUGUGCGUGUAUGCCAGGAUCAUAUAAAAUUUGUUGCCAUUGACCCUCAUAAGGUCUUUUUCCUAACAACAUAUCUAGAUAUCUUUGAGGGUAACCAGCUGCUGCAUUUUGCCUAGCUGUCUCCCUGCAAAAUUCCUCAUGGGCAACAUUCCAUAACAAAUAUUGUCCUCCAUUUAGCACAGAUUUACACAUACUAGCCCAAUCUGCUGUCGUCAUGUCCAAAUCAGUAAUGGAUUCGACCAUGCUUACAGUGAAGGGUGCUUGAGGACAAUAGGUUGUUACAGCCUCCUUUAACUGCUUCACUGUUUUGAAAUCUAAAGCACGGUGAAUUCACUGCCCUUCUGCCUGCUCAAGUACAGGGCAUGCUAGUCUUUGAGGUCCUGUCUCAGGAUCCCAUAUAUCAACUACGGGGGUUGAGGGCCACUCAGCUUUCUCCAUAGGUGGAGCUGUUGGUUGAAUUAUGCCUUCUGGUGAUAGAAUGGUGUUAGUAGCAGCCUCCUGUUUAGCUUUUUCCCUAAUAGCUGUUUCUCCUCUAAGCUUUCUUCCUUAAUAUUUUCUUCCUCUGUCUGACUAGCUUGAGAGACCUUCUCUUUUGCUUGAUCUAAAAUGUCUUUCUCCAUGGUCUGAAACUCUAACAAUUUACUUAACACUCUUUCAGUUUGUUUUUUACUAAUUUCUAAUCUGUCAUAAAGAUAACGCAACCCAAUAAGAUAAUACAAAACAAAACUGAAACAGAAUGAAACAAAAAUGGAACAAAAAUCAUUGUAUCAAUUUUCCUAUUUUCUUGACAUGUGUAUUUGUGGUCUAUUUCUAUCUCUUCCUCAGGGGCAAACAGCUUCAAACCUUGAGCCAACCAUUUUUCCCAGUCUGCCUAAGAAAAUUCUAGGGAUAGGCAGCUUGAAACAAACACAAAUCAAAUCAAAACAAGAACACAUUGUUUAUUAAAAUGGUCACCCAUUCUCUCACCUUCCCUUAGGGGCAAGAAGUUUCACUUACCCCGAAGCUUCAGACGUUCCCCGCACGGGCCACCAAUUGCCACAGUCUGGCUGGGCACAAAUCACGAGCCACUGAAGCAGGAACAAACUUUAUUUUUGAACUGCAAGAAAAAAAACUCACUCAUGCUCCUGGGGAAUUCUCUCGAUGCCACGCGGCUUGUCGAGGAAAACCCCCAGCCGGACAUAUCUCUCCCAACAAUCCCUCCUCCUGCACUUCCCCAACCAAUGGGAACUCUCGGGGAAUCCCCAGAAAUCCCUUCGAGAACUCCAAAACAGUGAGAGAAAACAAAAGUAGCGGUAGAGGUGGAGAGUAAUGCCUCGCCUGUCAAUCAAUACUGUUGGCAAAAUGCCAGGGGCCAUACAGACUUGGCUGCUCUCAGCAGAAAAUGAAUCCAAUGCAUAUGCAAAUAUGUGAUACACAACAGUCUUCCCACUAUCAUCCAGAACAAUGCCUUGACAUUACCUUCACCCCAAGUAAGACACAAUUAGAUGGGAAGAGUUAGAAAAUAUGUGAAUACAUAUCUAGAAUGGAACAUGCUCAGGAGUUCACAACCUUGGAGGAGGUAGAGGAGUUUCCAAAAGUAAGGGAUAGGGUAAACACUCCACAAACAUGGAGAUCUGAUGGCCUAAAGACUUCUUGAGAAACUGCCUAUGAGGUUGGGCCCUUGAAAUAUAUGUUGUUGUCAGGAGAUUUAGCUUCCUUUGUAGUGAGACCAUCAAAGUUGAGUCUGCAUUUAUGUGACCUGGAGGACAUGGUUUCUGAUUUUCCAAUGAACAUGAGGCAGCAGUGCUGAAUUCUCUCUUUGUAGGGAAACUGUGGCCACUGGGGGCUAAUUGUCUCCCCGUGUGUACUGUGAAGCCAUUUGGUCAUCCUCCAGUUUUUGUGGUGUUUCUUGCUGGUGAACUGGGAGUUUGGUAUUUGCUUCAUGAAAUACAAGGAGUUCAAAGGGGACAAAGUGCUAGAAGGAGUUCUGUCAGGUGUGGUGGGUCAGGGUCUACAGGAGAAUGCACCAACAAAUCUUCUAUCCCACAUAGCUUGUCCCCUUGACCAUAGCAACCAUAGGGACGGAGAGGGAGUAUCACAGGGGCUUCCGAGUUUUCUAUUAUCCAUCGCCGGAGGGUUCCUUUAGGUGGCCCAGCUUCCUCCAGGGGAGGAGGGGCUGCUGCUGCUGUGGAGAAGUCCCCUGGAGGGUUUGGGUCUGGCCCAAUUGCCUCUAGCGGCGGAGAGGCUGAGUCAGCAGUGGGAGGAUCAUCUGUAACGUGUUGGGGGUUGGGGAGCAAGGGUAGAGGAUAAGGAGGGGGAGGAGUGUCCAGUCUUGUGACUCAGGGAGAAUGGAGGGAAGAGGGGGAGGAGCAGAAGGUUUGAAUGAUAUGAUCAUGGGGGAAGGGGUAUAUGGCUGUUGAUCUGGGUGGCCACGUGGCCCCGGCUGAAAGACAAUAUCUCUGACUCUUCGGAUUAGAGGGAAGUAGAAGGAUCCUUCUGGGGGCCACCCAACUCCGAGGAUGGGCCAUUCUGAAGCACAGAGAAUUGGCCAGGUCUGGCGUUUUACUGAAAAAGAAAGAUUCUGGGCCCUUGAGCGGACAUCAGUCCAAUGAUCAAGGGUCAGGAACAGAGGCGUGGAAGUGCUUUGUCCCAUAAUGGGAGUUACUCAAAGAGCAACAGUGAAGACAAAAACUCAACACAGACAAAGACAAACAGUAAAUGUUUAACUUGAUUCCAAGACAAAGAUUAGAACUGAGUAACUGGCAAAACCUGAUGGGUUAGACAAUAAAGACAUACAGUAAACUCAACAUGAGUUCAAGACAAUGAACAAAACUGAGUAGCCAGCCAAACCUGAUGGGCUGGCAAACCGAAUCCUGAAGCAAAAUAUAACCGAGUUGAGGAAACUACUAUUCAUUGAUUUCCCUAGUCCUCUGGAGUGUCCCCCAGGGAUGUGACCUUUGGCUCUGUGACAAGUCUGUCACACCAUAGGAGAGAGCUAAUGCUCUUCACCAACAGCCACUUUGCCAUGCCCUAACCUGAAACCCGAAACCAGAAAGAGGUGCCUUACUUACCCUGAGAGGAGUCCUUUGUGGUCUUUCAUCCGCUGCUUCGUGAUAUCUCACCUAGGGCCUCCACAUGAAAAGGUGGGGCGAACAUCUGAGGAAAACACCACCAAGAGACUUUCUCAUGCAACAGCAAAGGGUUUAUUGGGGGUCCAGCAUGCUGGGGCUCAGAGCUCACUUCAGAGGAGCAAAGAACAAAGAGCCCCAAGAACAACUUGAGCAGAGUUGAUAUACAUUCUUUAGAGAGGGAAGGGACUUUACAUACAUCAUAACCUCCUUUAGCAAAUCAUCAUAUACCACGGGAAAAUCAAAUAACAACUCUAAAACAUGAUUAGCACAUUCAUUGGAGGGAACAGGUCGGGUAGGGGGUGAUUGGUCAGCCCUAAGAAGGGUAUACAUUUAAACUGAUUGGUUGAAGCCCUGAGAUGUAUACGUGCUGAGCUGCACAGUUUCUGGGAAGGGGUUGUUAAGUAGCUAGCUGGUCAGGGAAGAUUUCAACACACAUCUAAUGGGCAGAUCCGGGAAUUGUCUUAACUGCCACAGGAAUUUCAGGUUCUGAGUGCAGCUUGGAAACUUUACAAAACCUGGUUCUUUACAUUUCAAUUUCAAUUUCUUUUAUUCUUUCAAAACCUUACAGAGGAAGGCAAGAGACUUCAUCCACACUGACUGCUCUUUUGGCCAUUUUGGUUUUGGAUGCACACAUGGGAUCUUUCUUUAGAUCCAUCUGGUGCUGAUAAUGUAAGCCACAGCAUCACACAGGGCCAAGAGGCUGAUUAAGACACAUCCAUUUCCAAAGCAAUUACUACUCUGAAGUCAGUUACAGAACUCAGACUCUGAGGAGAAUCACACCAGUGUUCAAGCCCAGGUGGACCCAGUCAUCUCUUCCAACCACCACACAAAUGACCACAAUUAAAACCAAACAAUCCCACAUGGCCCUCAUCUUCUUCCAUAUAGUCACUCAUGAUAACCUCUGGCUGGAGGUUUCCUUGAAUGGCGAAGCCCAAGAGAGUGUCCAAAAUAAGCUCCCUUGCCCCUCAUUUGCAUAACCUCAGAGUGGCCUGGACACCCUUCCUGUGAACCAGGAUUGAUCACAUAGGUCUGCUGUUAAUACUGCUCUGCUUCUCCAAUUUGAGGCCUAUUGACACUCAGGUAUAGAUUCCUUAUGUGAUUUUGAGUCAUGACUAAACCCAAGCACCUCUGCAGGGCUUGGAAGAACACAUUUGACCCCAAAAAUCCCUAUACUUCCUUGAUGGAGGUCAGGAACCUAACAGAGGAAGGCAAGAGUCUUCAUCCACAAUGACUGAACUUUUUGCCAUUUUGGUUUUGGAUGCACACAUUGGAUCUUUCUUUAGAUACAUCAGGCACUGAAAAUCUAAGCCACAGCCUCAUACAGGGCCAAGAGGCUGAUUCAGACACAUCCCUUUCCAAAGCAAUUAAGCAAAGAGCCACAGAUGAUGCCCAUUCAUUUCCAUUUGAAAACUGUUUUCUUCAGGUUUCACAAAGGGGUGGCCUGAGGCAACUGAACAAUAGGUAAGCAGAAGGCCCAAAGCAGGGUUUCUCCACUGAGACUUUACUGGUCACACUGAUAUCUGAUUUUUCUGAGAUGCUCGCCAUUCCCUUCAGCUAUCCAGUACAUGGCCAUGUCACAGAGCUUGGAGGUGGUACGUAUCUUGGACACAAAAUCAUGAGCCUAUUCUGGAUAGUGGCCAGAAUUCGGGAAGAAAACAGGAACUUAGGAAGAUAGUAGGGGUUGCUCAUUCAUAAGGCAAGGUGCAAUCCAUGCAUAAAUUUGGUAGGAUGAAUGCUGGGAAGCUUUCUACUAGACAGGACAUAUCCAUUGUUGCAUUCUCUUUUCACAUGUGUGCAACUACGGACACAGUGGGAUACACUGACAUAGAAACACUCGCCUUGUCAAAUGACUUUCUAGAAACAGUCCACUCCAAACAAAACAAACCGUCUUUCCUACCUAUUCUCAGAACAUGAGACAAAACCACAAACUCACACCCACACUCAAAAAGGCACCCCCUUCCCCCAAGUAACUCUGUGACUAUCCAGAGUGUCCACUGACUGGUGGGCCAUACUAUGUUCCCCCGAAAUGGCCUGUCUUGUCUCAGAUCUGGUCUCCUUGUCCAACUCUGUGAAGUUGUCAGGAGCCUGUGCUGACCACUACAUGCUUUCUCAGGGAAGGCCCGUCUUCAGAGCUCUCCUCGCAUUUGGCCAUCCUCACAUCAGUAGGUACCAAGAAAGACAGACUCUGUCUUUGGUAAAUCCAAACAAGUGAGCCCACUGGGACUGGGACUGGACUGGCUCUGUGUUCCUGUCUUCCUGGAUCCCAAGUUCAGAGAGUUCCAUCACCAAAGAAGUGAGGUAGGUCAAUUCCUUCAGGAACUGAAUGAGGUCACUUCCUUGGCAACCACUAUUUUUUUAAACUUUCAAUAUAAAUAUGAAAACAGAAAUCUAGGUAAGAUUUGAAGCCCAGAAGUGCAUUGGGCCCUUGAUUGGAAUACUUAGCACUGAAUUACGUUCUGCAAAGAUGUCCGAGAUAAAUUGAUAUACAAUGGCAUAGGACCUUGUACCUUGGAUGAUUGAAUGUAGAAGAGAACCUCCUGUCAAAAGGGGAUAGUCAGUAGGAUUAGGAAGAUAGUCGGUAGGUUUAGAAAAAAGAGUGAGUAUAGGAUUUGGACAAAAAGUUCUUUAGCAAUCAUGUUUCGGAUAGAGACUGAACAUAAGUAUCAGCACAUGUGAAGAGUCAGUCACAAUGAUGAACUGGGGAAAAUAUGUAAGAAUGCAGAUAUCAAUAGAGACAUUAGGAAAUCAGGCAAAGUAUAAAGUGAGUGACAGGAUUAGAAAUUUUCAACAUGGUUGAGGUUGAAUAUAUAAUCUUUGGAAGAAACAAAUAUGUAGUCACCAAUAGGAUUGACAUUUGAGAGCAUUAGGCAACCUGGAUAUGGUUGUUUUAGUAAUCCAUGCUCACUUUCCAUUUCGUUUUGGUGAAAGGUUAAUAAAAUAGGUACUUGUCACUUCCUGUUUUUCUGUAUGCUUAACAAAACACUGUUGAAAUCUGGAGAACUGUUUGCUAAUUUUGUUCCCAGAAUGUGCUGUCCCCAACUGCAAAACUGAGGAUUGUACUCCCUCACCCGUUUGCACGCACACCGCCCACUCGCUCUGACCCAUCAAUAAAUUUCCCUCCCUGCCCUCUCCAAGGAAAGUAUAUAAGCUCUGAUUAAGCUGUUCUCAGGGCUCUCUGCUCUAUCCAAGUGAGCUCUGAGCCCCAGGAUGCUGGAGCCCCAAUAAACCAUUUGUUGUUGCUGAGUGAAAAUGGUAUACUGUUCUGGACUUAAAAGAUGCUUUCUUUUGCUUGCCUCUGUAUAAAGAUACUCAGUUGCUGUUUGCUUUCAAGUGGGUAGACCCAGAAACCGGAACGUCUGGUCAACUAACUUGGACUAGACUCCCACAGUGGUUCAAAAACUCCCCCACUCUCUUUGAUGAAGCCCUCCCCAGAGAUCUCAACAACUUCAGAACUACGCACCCUGAAGUCACCCUGCUUCAAUAUGUGGAUGUCCUGCUACUGGCAGCCAACACCAAGGAAAACUUUGAGUCUGCAACCCAAGCACUAUUAUUUGAGCUUGCUCAACUCGGGAAUAGAGCUUCUGACAAAAAGGCCCAAAUUUGCCAGCAAGAAGUAAUCUUCCUGAGGUAUUCCCUUAGGGGCAGUAAAUGAUGGCUCACUGAGCCUAGAAAACAAACCGUUGUGCAGAUACCACCCCCAUCUAACAGGAGACAACUCAGAGAGUUUCUUGGGACUGCUAGCUUUUGCAGGUUAUGGAUACCUGGGUUUGUGUUCUUAGCUGCUCCUUUAUACCCGCUGUUAAAUGAGGAUGCUCAAUUCCAAUGGACCCCUGAGCACCAGCAAGCUUUUGAUAACAUCUAAGGACACUGACACUGAAUUCCUCAACUUCACUGAGCCCAGCCUGCAAUUACAGAAAUCCCUACACUACUUUAAAAAUGUACAUCAACUCACUCACCUUGGUUCAAAGAAACUGCAGGCAUUCCUGAAGGAUCAAGAACAGAGUUUUAGACUAACCGACUUACAGCAAAAGGAAACAUCUGAACGGGUAAUAAAAGCCUGUCGGGUCUGUCAAUUGGUUACUGCUUACCCUUCCAAACUUCCUGCAGGAAAGCACCUAUGAGGAACCAGACAAGGACAAUUCAGGGAAGUGGACUUUACUGAAAUUAAGCCAGCAAAGUAUGGACUUAAAUAUCUCCUAGUCUUUGUAGAUACAUUUUCAGGAUGGAUUGAAGCCUUUCCCACAAAAUUAAAAAAAAAAAAAAAAAAAAAAACAAUGGUGCAAAUGGUGGUCAAGAGUAUCCUGAAAGAUAUUUUUCCAAGAUACGGCCUGCCUAAGGUAAUAGGGUCUGAUAAUGGACCAGCGUUCAUGGCCCAGGUAAGUCAGGGGUUAGUCAGGACCCUGGGGAUUAAUUGGAAGUUACAUUGUGCUUAUAGACCCCAGAGCUCAGGACAGGUAAAAAAAAUAAAUAGAACCAUUAAAGAGACCUUAAAGAAAUUAAGCUUAGAGACCAGCAUAAGAGAUUGGACUAUGCUCCUGCCUUAUGCACUGUUUCACGCAAGAAAUUCUCCCUCUGUUUCUUUGUGUAACAUAUCCCCCUAUGAAAUUCUCUAUGGUGCCCCUCCUCCAGUAAGGGACCUAACCCCAACUCUAAGACCUAAUGAUCCCUUCCACACCCCCUUGCUUGACAGACUAAAAGCUCUCGAAAGAACUCAGUGAUACCUGUUGAAACAGCUGGCCACAGCCUACCAACCUGGGGACGAGGGGACUCCACAUCAAUAUCAAGUAAGAGACUUCGUCUACAUAAGACGUCAUCAGGUGUCAUCCCUGCAACCCCGCUGGAAAGGACCAUACCAGGUGCUACUUAUAACACCUACAGUGGUAAAGGUAGACGGAAUCACUUCCUGGAUCCAUGCCUCUCAUCUCAAGCCUGUGCCCUGUCCAGACUCUGGCUGGAAACUGGAAAAGACUGGUAACCCUUUCAAAUUGCGUAUUCACCAUGUGGAUAGGGCUAUAAACUGUCCCCUUGGCCACCAGUAGUCCUAACCCUCAUCAGCCCAUUCAGCAGCAAUGGCUGAUCACAAAUCCUACUAGACAAGAUGUAUGGUCUAUCUAGCAUACAGCCACCUUAGGGGUCUGCUGGCCAUCUCUCCACCCAGAUAUUUGUCAGAUGGCUACAGGUCUUUCCUAUUGGGAUAUCCUAAAUGAAGAGGAUCCCACUAAAAUUCCAUUAAAUACCUUCUGUACCAUAGAUAAUGGAAACAAACAUUAUGGAUGUAGGGACACGCUACCAGAUGCAGGUUGGCUAUCCUAGAUUACUAUGUCUGCCCGGCAGACUAUCAAAGCCACAAACAGCCAUGGCUGUGUGGGGGAAAAGCCGACUUCUUCUGUAAGUCAUGGGGAUGUGAGCAUACUGGGGGUACCUGGUGGAACCCAAACUGCUCAUCAAAUUCAGUACACAGCAUUGGCCAUAUUACCAAUUAGAGAACGAAAACCGAUGGCCCCCAGAUGGGUCUCUGGAUCUUCAAAUUCUGUGUGACCUUUUUAACUUCUGCAAGUGCUCAAAAGGGUGAAUGGAGAUACCCCUAUGUGGAGGCCUUUUCCCUCCUUCGCACACAUCCUGAACUAUGCUUCUCCAAUAGAUCCUCACCCUCAGCCUUCUGCUCCAGACUCUCUGCUGUCACUCCCACCUCAGCAACUUGAUUUCUCCCCUCCAAUUACCAUAUCAAAAACCCAAACCUCGGCCGGUUCUCAGACCAUUGCCCCCUUGCUGAGGUAUCAGGUACUGAGGCACCCCUCCACUCACUCACUCCUCUCUUCUCCUGUCAGUGCACGCACCGGGUCCCACCAGGUCCACUUACCAGCUAACCAAAAGCUCAAACCAGCUGAGGAGAACCCUCAGACCUCUAUCCAAGAUGUAAUGAAAAUGUCCUUUAAAGUUGCUUUGUCAUCACUGAAAACAGGUUACUAAGAAUUUAAAGUCCCUCACAGGCUUUUUGGGAUACUCACUCCCAUCUUCCCCUGGGCUCUAUCUGUUCUACUGUUCAAGUUUUUGUUGCUAGGAAAAUCCCAAACCCCUUUCCUAUUAUUCUUUUACAUCUCUCCUUCCUCAUACUCAGAUCCACGGAGCUUCUCUCACACCCCACCUUCCCCGUCUUCCCCCUCUGUACCCGGCCCACAGAAAAGUCUUAACUGACCUUCUCCAGAUGUCUUCACCAUGGCUGACUUUAGGACUUUCAGCAAAAGAGUCCCUAUAAACGAGUUCAAUGUAGAUAAACUUCCUGUUUUCAUGUUGCCUGUUCUACUUGGGCACUGGCUGGAAAAAUCAGCACUCCUAAGCUAGACACCCCCCUUACUAGUUUUUCACAAAAUAUGUGAACAAGGCCCCUGGCCUUGAGCUGGGGCUUCACAGAGAUGGCUACAUUUCUAAGAUAAAUAAGUUACCAACUGGGCUCCUUUGGUAACAGCUGGCAGGGAGAAAAAAAAAAGAGAAGAAAAAAGCUCUCCCCCUCCUAGGUGUCCUUAAAAAUGUAACUUGCCCAGAACAGAGGAAAAAAAAAACAGAAAUAAAAACUGCUUUUUGUGAACUUCUGCAGACUGUGAACUUCUGAGCCCCUUCACUUACAUGUUGGGUACAAAAUUCUGAAACUACCUAAACUUUGGGUUCAGGGAAUUAAUUGAUUACAACAGAAGCAAUGCCUUCUAAAUCAGGUUGCAACUAAAUAGGACUGUUUCCCUGUCUUCCGUUCUAUCUUAGGUGCUUAUCCUUAUCCAUACCUACAACAAUAUAAUUCUAUAUACUUAAACACUGUGUAUGUUUUCAUAAAAUGGUCAACAGAUGUGAUUAAUUAUGUAAUAGUGUAGAUGUUUCCCAGAGUGCUCUAUCAUGACGCAGGAUCAUUUAAAGUUCAAAUAGGGGGGCAUACAACCCAGUUCUGCCAGAAACCUGUAUCCCUCACUUUAGCCAUCCUAUUAGGAAUAGGAGUUGCUGCAGGGUUGGGCAGAGGAACCACUGCCCUAGUCCAUGGGACACAACAAAUCACCCAAUUAGAAGCAGCAAUAGACCAAAACUUAAAGAUAUUAAUAACCUCCAUCACAACUUUACAGGAAUCUUUAACCUCUCUCUCUGAAGUUGUUUUACAGAACAGGCAAGGGUUAGAACUCCUUUUCAUGAGAAAAGGGGGCCUUUAUGCUGCAUUGAGGGAAAAAAUGUUGUUUUUAUGACUACCAUACUGGUUGUAAAAGAAUCUAUGAGUAAAUUAAGAAGACGCCUUGAAGAGCAUCAACGAGAGAGAGAGGCCCAAAAAGGGUGGUUUGAGUCUUUGUUAACAUAGUCCCCCUGGUUAACUACACUUUUAUCAGCCCUGGCCGGUCCUUUAAUAAUCCUUAUUUAUUGCUAACUGUAGGACAUUGCUUGCUCCAACGUGUAGUUUCAUUUCUCCAAGCUCAAAUUGGACAAGUUAAACUUUUGGUAAUCAGACAACAACAUACCCCACUAGCAGACAUAAAAUGUAACACCGUCCAAUGAUCACUUUUAUGAUUAAAAGUAACCAGAAGAAGUGGGGAAUGAAAGGUUAAUAAAAUAGGUAUUUGUCACUUCCUGUUUUUCUGUAUACUUAACAAAACACUGUUGAAAUCUUGAGAACUGUUUGCUAAUCUUAUUCCCAGAAUGUGCAGUCCCCAACUGCCAAACUGCAGAAUGUACUCCCUCACCUGGUUGCACGCAAACCACCCACUCGCCCAGACCCAUCAACAAACUUCCCUCCCUGGCGUCUCCAAGGAAAGUAUAUAAGCUCUGCUUAAGCUGAUAUCAGGGCUCUCUGCUCUAUUCAAGUGAGCUCUGAGCCCCAGAAUGUUGGACCCCCAACAAAUCCUUUGCUGUUGCAUGAGACAGUCUCUUGGUGGUCUCUUCCUCUGAUGCUCGAACGACCUUUACAUUGGUACAAUCAUAAGUGUGACAUUUGCUUUUUGUGUCCAGAAUAUUAUUGUGAUAAAAUGUAUAUGUAGAUCAGGUGACAUGAGUAUUUCUUCCACCAUUUCUGGGAGCAAUAUUUUGAAGAUGUAUAAAUUAGUAUUGGGGGUACAAAUAGGUGUACCCUGUGUCUAUGAAUAUAGAGAUAAUGCAUGAAUAGACCAUACUGUGAAUAAAUAAUGUAACUAGUUCCAACUUUAAAUAAUGGAUUGAAUUGAUAUCUGAAAAAAUACAGGAAAUCUUAUAUUGAUAUACAUAUAUUCAUACAUUCAUUCCAACAAGUUAUACAUAAUUUUGUUUAACCAGGAAGCUCACACAUAGGUUGAAUUUUCAGUUCCAACAGCAUUUAGGAGGAGUGAUCUCUUCUCACAAUUUGUAUCUGAAAAUUCAGCCACCUCACAAUAAUGUACGUGUGGGACCAGGUAGGAUUCUAUAUGUGCAUAUAAAAAUGCAUGUGCUGAAUAGGCUACAUAGAAAAGGAGACAGGAAUUCACAUGUUUGUUAACUUUAAAAACACAUGGAGAACUAUUUCAACAAAAAAAUGACUAGAUUUAUAACUCCUAACCUAUAUAAUGCAAAAGGCCCAUCCAACUAUACAACAUGCAUCCUCUGAACUGCUAGUAUUUCUAUACUGUUUGGGAAUUUUUUCUCCAUCUUUUUAGGAUUAGUAGUCAGAGUGGAAUAGGGUAGGGUUUAGUGUCAGGGAUUCAUUAUUUCAAUUGGAAAAUUGGAAAAUAAAUUCAAUGUGUUUGUAAAUAUGUGCUACACAAAAAUUUUGCCACUCUCAUCCAGAACAAUGCCUUGACAUUACCGUCUCCCCUAGUAAGACCCAUUAGAGGAGAAGAGUUAGAAAACAUUUGAAUACAUAUCUGGAAUGGAAUAUGUUCAGGAGUUCACAACCCUGGAGGUGGUAGAGGAGUUUCCAAAAGUAAGGGACAGGGUACACACUCCACAAUCAUGGAGCUCUGUGGGCCUAAAGACUUCUUGAGAAACUGCCUCUGGGUUGGGCACUGUAAAUAUAUGGUGUUGUCAGGAGCUUUAGCUUCUUUGUAGUGAGACUAUCAAAGCUGGGUCUGCAUCUAUGUUACCUGGAGGAUAUGGUUUCUGAUUUUCCAAUGAACAUGAGGGAGCAGUGCUGAAUUCUCUCUUUGUAGGUAAACUGUGGCCACUGGGGGCUAAUUGUCUCCCUGUGUCGACUGUGAAGCCAUUUGGUCGUCCUCCACUUUUCCUGGUGUUUCUUGAUGCUGCACUGAGAGUUUGAUAUUUGCUUCACAAAAUACAAGGAGUUCAACUGUGACACAGUGCUGGAGGGAGUUCUGUCACUUGUGGGGUGUCAGGGGAUGCAUGAGCAUGCACCAAACCAGCCUAUAUACCACAUAGCUUGCCCCCUUGACCAUAGAAACCUCUCCAUAUAACAAGAUGCCUUUACGUAUAAUGGUCUCCUGCCUGCACCAUGUCUGUCUCAAGACAUUUUGAAUCCAAUGGCAGAUCAACAUGGCCCCACCACAGAUGUUUUAUCACACACCGGCCCACCACUGCUCUAGGCCCUCUACUCAGCAGGCUCCAUCUUACUGGCAUCUUUGUUGUACACCAUUUUCAUGAAACCCAAUCAAUCAAAGCACUGUCUGAUACACUCAUGAUCAGCAGUAGGACAUCCAAAGGUUCUGCAUGCCACCUGGUAAUGCGAAUUCCAAAAAUUUAAUGGUAUUUAUCCAGCCAUUUUUCAGGAAUGAAGUUGGAUGCACUAUGGGUUUCAAUUCAUUCAGGAACCAUUAAAUUGUGAGGAAGCUCCUUUCAAUGAAAACUCUGGAGAACUCUCACAGGCAAGGCUUCCCAAAGAGUGUCCAAAAGGUCACAUGAAACCAGGCCCAUUGAGGUCUACAAUUGAGGUCCAUGAGUGAUUUAAUCUCAACUAUGGCUGCCAAGUCUUUCAGCAUAAUAUAUUUUGAUAUCCUGGCUAAUUUUCCCAGUGCUCUCUGGAUAGCCACCCUGGGCCUAUAUCUCAGUUUCCAAGGGCGACACUCAUGCGUGGCCUCAUAAAAUCCCAACACAAUUCAUGGCAAUACUUCUCUGAGGUCAGUUCCAGAACUCAGUGUCUAAGGGGAAUCACAACAGAGUUCAAGCCCAGGUGGACCCACUGAACUCUUCCAACUGCCACACAAACGAACACAGUUAAAACCAAAACACUCCCACAUGGCCCUCAUCUUCUUCCAUAUAGACACUUAUCACAAUCUCUGGCUGGAGGUUUCCAUAAGGGGCGCAGCCAGAAACAGUAUCCACAAUAAGCUCCCUGGCCCCUCAUUUGCCUAAAAUCAGGGUGGUCUAAACACCCUUCCUGUGAACCAGGAGUGAUUAAAUAAGCCUGCUUUUUAUACUGCUAUGUUUCUCCAAUUUGAGGACUACUGACUGUCAGGUAUAGAUUUUUUAUGUGAUUUGGAUUCAUGAGAAAACCCAAGCACAUCUGCAGGGCUUUGAAGAACUCAUUUGACCCAAAGUAUCCCUAUUCUCACUUGAUAGAGGUCAGGAACCUAACAGAGGAAGGCGAGAGUCUUCAUCCAAAAUGACUGAUCUUUUUGAAUUUUGGUUUUGGAUGCACACAUGGGAUUUUUCUUUAGAUCAAUCAAGUGCUGAUAAUCUAAGUCACAGCCACACACAAGACAAAGAGGCUAAUUCAGACACAUCCAUUUCCAAAGCAAUUAAUCAAAGAGCCACAGGUGAUGCCCAUUCAUUUCCAUUUGAAAACUGUUUUCUUCAGGCUUCACAAAGGGGUGGCCUGAGGCAAAGACUUUUCUGACAUUCAGUGCAACAGAAUAAUAGGUAAGCAAAAGGCCCAAAGCAGGGUUUCUCCACUGAGACUUUACUGGUCACACUGAUAUCUGAGUUUUCUGAGAUGCUCCCGAUUCUCUUCAGCUAUCCAGUACAUGGCCAUGUCACAGAGCUUGGAGGUGGUACAUAUCUUGGACACAAAACCAUGAGCCUAUUCUGGAGAGUGGCCAGAAUUCAGGAAGAAAUCAGGAACUUAGGAAGAUUGUAGGUGUUGCCCAUCGAUAAGUCAAGCUGCAGUCCAUUCAUAAAAUUAGGAAAGAUUAAUCCUGAGAAGCUUUCCACUAGACAGGACACAUCAAUUGAUGCAUUCUCUUUUCUAAUGUCUACAACCACGGACACAGUGGUAUACACCGACAUAGAAACACUUGCCUUGUCAAACAACUUAUUAGAAACUCUCCACUCCAUACCAAACAAACCGCCUUUCCUACCUAUUCUCAGAACAUGAGACAAAACCACAAACUCACACCCACAUCCACAAAGGCACCACCUUCCCCCAAGUAGGUCUGUGACUAUCUGGAGUAUUCUCUGACUGAUUGGCCAUUCUAUGUACCCGUGAAAUGGCCUAUCCUGUCUCAGAUCUGGUCUCCUUGGUCAAAUCUGUGAAGUUGUCAGGGGCCAGCGGUGAGUCACUACCUGCUUUCUCAGGAAAGUCCCCUCUUCAGAGCUCUCCUGGCCUUUGGCCAUCCUCACAUCAGUAGGUACCAAGAAAGACUGACUCUGUCAUUGGUAAAUCCAAACAUGUGAGCCCACUGGGACUGGGACUUGAACUGGCUUUGUGUGCCUGGCUUCCUGGAUCCCAAAUUCAGAGAGUUCCAUCACCAAGGAAGUGAGGUAGGUCACUUCCUUCAGGAACUGAAUGAAGUCACUGCCUUGGCAUCCACUUUGUCCUAACAGUUGCUUCCAAGGGUCCCAUGAGAUGGAGGCUGCCCUACUUCCUGUGACACUUUCACAAGUUAAAAUGGUAUAUCAACCAUAGGGAAGCAGGAAGAGCUCUCCACACAGUCCUGGUUUGAUCCAUAUUCUCUACAUUAAGAAGAGAGAGGGUGAUUCAGACACAUUCCUUCAUCCUGACUAGGUUGUUUGCCAUGGAAGAAGACUUUUGCACUCUCUGGUCCUACAUAGCUGCCUACAACUUCUCCAGGGAUCAUUUCUGCUUGGACCUUUGAGGUUCUCAGCAGGUGGAAGAUCCACUGCAUUCCUGUAUUGUAAGACCAACUCUGUCCCUGCUCUUCUGUAAAGGUAGAUUGAGGGAACAGUGUAUGGUUAGGGUCAAUAACAUGUUCGAUUUGGGUGAGGAGUCAUUCUGCUGGAUGAAUAAUGGUAUUGGGAACCUGCGAUAUUUACAAGAAUAUAUAGGUGGAAUAUAAGUAUGAAAACCAAAAUCUAGGUAAGAUUUGAAGCCGAGAAGGGCAUUGGGCCCUUCAUUGGGAAACUUAGCUUUGAAUUAUGUUCUGCAGAGAUGUCUCAGAUAAAUCGACAUACAAUGUUAUAGGACCUUGUACCUUGGAUGAUUGAAUGUCGACGAGAACAUCCAGGCAAAAAGGGAUAGUCGGUAGUAUUAGGAAGACAGUUGGUAAGUUUAAAAAGAAGAGUGAGUAUGGGAUUUGGACCAAAAGUUCUUUAGCAAUAGGGUUUCGGUUAGAGAGUGAAUGUAAAUGUCAGCACGUGUGAAGAGUCAGUCACAAUGAUGAACUGUGGAAAACAUGUAGGAAAGCAGAUAUCAAUAGAGACAUUAGGAAAUCAGGCAAAGGGUAAAGUGAGUGAUAGGAUUAGACAUUUUCAAUAGGAUUGACUUUGAAUACAUAAUCUUAGGAAGAAACAAAUAUGUAGUCCCCAACAAGAUUGACAAGUGGGGGCAUUAGGCAACCUGGACAUGGAUGUUUUUAGUAAUCCAUGUUUAUUUUCCAUUUAGGCUUUGGUACAAACAUAAGUGUGAUCUUUGCAUUUUCUGACCAGAAUAUUACUCUGAUAAAAUGUAUAUGUAGAUCAGGUGACAUGAGUAUUUCUUCCACCAUUUCUUGGAGCAAUAUUAUGAAGAUGUAUAAAUUAGUAUUGUGGGUAAAAAUAGAUGUACCCUUUGUCUAUGAAUAUAGAGAUAAUGCAUGAAUAGACCAUACUGUGAAUAAAUAAUAUAACUUGUUCCAACAUUAAAUAAUAGAUUGAAUUGAUAUCUGAAAAUAUUCCGGAAAUCUUUUAUUGAUAUACAUACAUUCAUUCCAACCAGUUAUACAUCUAGUGGUAAUAUUAGGGUUAUGGUUUAUCAUGAAAGGUGUGUGAGUUUUGCUUCAAACUGAUUAUGGAAAUAAAAAAUAAUAUUUUUGGAAAGAAGUCUCAUGAAAAGAUCAGUCAAGAAACAUGGAGAAAUACAUGUGUUCUGAAGCAGGAAGUGAUUGAAAGUGAAACAAAUGCCUACAAAUUUGUGAACUUGUGGAUGAAAUAUAUAUCCUAUGAUGUGCAUAAACUGAAGAAAUAAUAAUGUACCAGUGUUGAAUAAAAAUGAACAUCAAAAUACACAUCAUGUCCCAUAGGAGUCUACUUGCAUUGAUGUUAAACUGGGUAAGUUACUCUAGAAAUAUUAGGAUUUGUAUGCACCUUUCACUGAAGUUAGUUUUCAGUACUAGGAAACAAAUAUAUAUUUCAGGUGGAUGAAUAUUUCUGAGAAUAAUCUUGUGAAAAAUUGAUUAUAAAUCUAAAUACAUGAACAUGAAUGAAUUUAGUGAGUGUAUAUAAGACACAUAUAUUUCAUAUUUUGAAAAAUCUGUAGGGUGAAUAUAUAUAUAUAUAUAUAUAUAUAUAUAUAUAUAUAUAUAUAUAUACAGAAAACACACACACAGACAUUGAAAAGUAGCAAUACAUAUGCUAAUCGAAAUUUAUCAUGAAAUAUAUAUUAUUCACAUAUGCAAAAAUGUGUAUUUCACUGAACAUGGAUUUAUGUAUAAUGUUUUUCGACUAGGAAGCUCACCCAUAGGUUGAAUUUUCAGUUUCAACAGCUGUUAGAAGGAGGGAUCUCUUCUCACAAUUUGUAUCUGCCAAGUCAGACAACACACAAAAAUUUACCUGUGAUACCAGGUAGAAUUCUAUAUGUGCAUAUCAAUAUACAUAUGCUGAAUAGUCUAUAGAGAAAGGGAGAGAGGAAUUCACAUAUUUGUUAACUUUAAAAACACAUGGAGAAUUAUUUCAAUUAAAAAUUGAAUAGAUUUAUAACACCUACCCUUUAUCAUGCAAAAGGCAAUUCCAAAUAUACACCAUGCCUCCACUGAACUGCUUGUAUUUCUAUUCUGUUUGGGUUAUUUUUCUCAAUCAUAUUAGAAUUAGUAGUCAGAGUCUAGUAGGGUAUGGGUUAGUGUCAUGGUUUAAGUAUUUUGAUUGGAAAAUAGGAAAAUGAAUCCAAUGUGUAUGCAAAUAUGUGCCACAUAGAAAUAUUCCUACUCUCAUCCACAACAAUGCCUUGACAUUACCUUCACACCAAAUAAGACACAAUUGAGGAGAAGAGUUAGAAAAUCUGUGAAUACAUAUCUGGAAUAGAACAUGCUCAGGAGUUCACAAACUUGGAAGUGGUAGAGGGGUUUCCAAAAGUAAGGGUCAGGGUAAACACUCCACAAACAUGGAGCUCCCCUGGCCUAAAGACUUCUUGAGAUACUGCCUCUGAGGUUGGGCCCUUGAAAUAUAUGUUGUUGUCAGGAGCUUUAACUUCAUUUGUAGUGAGACCAUCAAAGCUGGGUCUGCAUCUAUGUGACCUGGAGGACAUGGUUUCUUAUUUUUUAAUGAACAUGAGGGAGCAGUGCUGAAUUCUCUCUUUGUAGGUAAACUGUGGCCACUGUGGCUAAGUGUCUCCCAGUGUGAAGCCAUUUGGUCAUCCUCCACUAUUUGUGGUGUUUCUUGCUGCUGCACUGGGAGUAUGGUAUUUACUUCACAAAAUACAAUGAGUUCAACUUGGACAAAGUGCUAGAGGGAGUUCUGUCAGGAGUGGUGGGUCAGAGUCUACAGGAGAAUGCACCAACAAGUCUUCUAUCCCCCAUAGCUUGUCCCCUUCACCAUAGCAACCUGAUUCUUAAAUUUGGCCUUAACCUCUGCAUAUAACAAGAUGCCUUUACAUAUAAGGUUCUUCUGGCUACACUUUGUCAGUCACAAGAUAUUUGGAAGCCAAUGGCAGAUCCACAUGACCCCACCACAGAUGUUUUAUCACACACCUGCACACCACUGCUCUAGGCCCACUAAUCUGCAGAGUCAAAUUUACUGGCAUCUCUGUUCUACACCAUUUUCAUGAAACCCAGUCAAUCAAGGCACUGUCUGGUACACUCAUGAUCAGCAACAGGACAUCCAAAGAUUCUCCAUUGCCACCUGUUCAUUGUAAUUUCAAAUAUAUCAUGGUAUUUAUCUAGGAUUAGGAAGAUAGAUGGUAGGAUUAAAAAGAAGAGUGAGUAUAGGGUUUGGACAAAAAGUUCUACUUCUCCAAUUUGAGGCCUACUCUCCUGCGUGGGCGACUCUCAUGCCUGGCCUCCUAAAAUCCCAACACAAUUCAUGGCAAUACGUCUCUAAGGUCAUUUUCAAAACUCCAUUUCUAAGGGGAAUCACAACAGAGUUCAAGCCCAGGUGGACCCAGUCAUCUCUUCCAACCACCACACAAAUGACCACAUUUAAAACCAAAACACUCCCACAUGGCCCUCAUCUUCUUCCAUAUAGACACUCGUCAUAACCUCUGGCUGGAGGUUUCCAUGAGGGGCACAGCACAAGACUGUGUCCACAAAAAGCUCCCUUGCCCCUCAUUUGCCUAAAGUCAGGGUGGCCUGGACACCCUUCCUGUGAACCAGGAGUGAUCAAAUAGGCCUGCCAUUAAUACUGCUCCACUUCUCCAAUUUGAGGCCUACUGACUGUGGGGUUUAGAUUCUUUAUGUGAAUUGGAGUCAUGAGAAAACCUAAGCACCUCUGGGCUGCCCUCUGCAGGGAUUUGAAGAACCCAUUUGAGUGAGUCUGGGAGUUGGACCAAAAGUUCUGUAGCAAUACUGUUUUGGUGAGAGAGUGAAUGUAAAUGUCAGCACAUUUGAAGGGUCAUACUCAAUGAUGAACUGGAGAAAUGGUGUUUGAAAGCAGAUAUCAAUGGAGACAUUAGGAAAUCAGGCAAAGUACAAAGUGAGUGGUAGGAUAAGACAUUUUUAACAGGGUUGAGGUUGAAUAUAUAAUCUUAGGAAGAAACAGAUACGUAGUCACCAAUAGGAAUGAUAUUUGAGAGCAUUAGGGAACCAGGACAUGGAUGUUAUUAGUAAUACAUGCUCACAUUCAAUUUAGGCUUUGUUGCAAUCAUAAGUGUGACCCUUGCAUUUUGUGUCAGGAAUAUUACUGUGAUGAAAUGUAUAUGUAUAUCAGGUGACUAGAGUAUUUCUUCCACCAUUUCUGAAAGCAAUAUUUUAAAGACUUAUAAAUUAGUAUUGGGGAUACAUUUAGGUGUACCCUGUGCCUAUUAAUAUAGAGACGAUGCCUUAAUAGACCAUACUGUGAAUAAAUAAUUUAACCUGUUCCACUUUUAAUAAUGGAUUGAAUUGAUAUCUGAAAAUAUAUAAGAAAUUUUAUGUUGACAUACAAUCAUUCAUUCCAACCAGUUAUACAUCUAAUGGUAAUAAUAGGGUUACAGUUUAUCAUGAUGGGUGUGUGAGUGUGAUUCAAAAGAGAUUAUGGAAAUCGAAAAUAAUGUGUUUGGAAAGAAGUCUCAUGAAAAAACCAGUCAAGAAACCUGGAGGAAUACAUGUGUUCUGAAGCAGGAAGUGAUUGAAAGUGAAACAAAUGCCUAUAAAUUUGCUAACUUGUGGAAGAAAUAUAUAUCGUAUGAUGUGCAUAAAAUGAAGAAAAAGUAAUGUACCAGUGUUGAAUAAAAAUGAACGUAAAAAUAGACAUCAUGGAACAUAGGAAUCUACUUGCAUUGAUGUUAAACUGGGUAAGUUACUGUAGAAAUAUUAGUAUUUGUAUGCACCAUUCACUGAAUUUAGUUUUAAGUACUAGGAAACAAAUAUGUAGUUCAGGUGGAUGAAUACUUCUGAGAAUAAUCUUGUGAAAAGUUGAUUAGAAAUCCAAAUACAUGAACAUUAAUGAAUUUAGGGAGUGUAUAAUAAGACGUAUAUAUUUCAUAUUUUGAAAAAUCUGGAGAGUAUAUAUAUAUAUAUAUAUAUAUAUAUAUAUAUAUAUAUAUACACACACAAAUCCCACACAGAGACAUUAAAAAGUAGCAAUAUAUGCCAAUCAAAAUUCAUCGUGAAAUAUAAAUCGUCCACAGAUCCAAAAAUAUUUAUUUUACUCAUCAUGGAUUUAUAUAUAAUGUUGUUCAACUAGGAAGCUCCACCAAAGGUUGAAUUUUCAGUUCCAACAGCGAUUAGGAGGAGUGAUCUCUUCUCACAAUUUGUAUCUGCCAACAUAGCCACCUCACAAGUAUGUACGUGUGAUACCAGGUAGGAUUCUAUAUGUGCAUAUACAAAUACAUGUGCUGAAUAGGCUACAGACAAAGGGAAACAGGAAUUCACAUAUUUGUUAACUUUAAAAACACAUGGAGAACUAUUUCAACAAACAAUUGACUAGAUUUAUAACUCCUACGCUAUAUAAUGCAAAAGGCAAGUCCAACUAUACAACAUGCCUCCUCUGAACUGCUUGUAUUUCUAUUCUGUUUGAGUGAUUUUUCUCCAUCAUAUUAGGAUUAGUAGUCAGAGUCUAGUAGGGUAUGGGUUAGUGUCAGGGAUUCAGUAUUUCGAAUGGAAAAUUGGAAAAUGAAUCCAAUGUGUAUGCAAAUAUGUGGUACACAAAAAUCUUCCCACUCUCAUCCAGAACAAUGCAUUGUCAUUACCUCCGCCCCAAGUAAUACACAAUUAGAGGAGAAGAGUUAGAAAAUCUGUGAAUACAUAUCUGGAAUGGAAUAUGCUCAGGAGUUCACAACCCUGGAGGUGGUAGAGGAGUUUCCCAAAGUAAGGGACAGGGUAAACUUUCCACUAACAUGGAGCUCUGGUGCCCUAAAGACUUCUUGAGAAACUGCAUCUGAGGUUGGGCCCUUGAAAUAUAUGUUGUUGUCAGGAGUUUGGCUUCAUUUGUAGUGAGACCAUCAAAGCUGGGUCUGCAUCUAUGUGACCUGGAGGACAUGGUUUCUUAUUUUUUAAUGAACAUGAGGGAGCAGUGCUGAAUUCUCUCUUUGUAGGUAAACUGUGGCCACUGUGGGCUAAGUGUCUCCCCAUGUGGACUGUGAAGCCAUUUGGUCAUCCUCCAAUUUUCAUGGUGUUUCUUGUUGCUGCACUGGGAUUUUGGUAUUUGCUUCAUGAUAUACAAGGAGUUCAACUGGGACACAGUGCUUGAGGGAGUUUUGUCACAUGCGGUGGGUCAGGGUUCUCAGGAGAAUGCACUAACCAGGCUUCUAUCCCUCAUAGCUUGCCCCCUUGUCCAUAGAAACCUGGUACUGAACAUUGCCCAGAAACCUCUCCAUAUAACAACAUGCCUUUACAUAGAACAUUCUGCUGGCUGCACCAUGUCAGUCACAAGCCAUUUGGAAGCCAAUGGCAGAUCCACAUGGCCCCACACAGAUGUUUUAUCAUACACCUUCCCACCUCUGCUUUAGGCCCACCACUCAGCAGGCUGCAACUUACUGGUAUCUCUGUUCUACACCAUUUUCAUGAAUCCCAGUCAAUCAAGGCACUGCCUGAUACAUUCAUGAUCAGACGUAGGACAUCCAAAGUUUCCCCAGUGCCACCUGGUCACAGGAAGUUCAAAAAUUUCCUGGUAUUUGUCUAGGCAUUUUUCAAGGAUGAAGUUGGAGGCACUGUGGGAUUCAAUUCAUUCUGGAACCAUUAAAUAGUGAGGAAUCUCAUUUCAAUGAAAGCUCUGGAGAACUCUCAAAGGCAAGGCUUUCCAAAGAGUGGCCAAUCGGUCACAUGAAGCCAGGCUCAUUGAGGUCUACAAUGUGAGGUCCAUGUGUGUUUUGAUUCUCAACUACGGCUGCCAUGUCUUUAAGAAUAAAAUCAUGUGAUAUACUGGGUGAGAUUUCCAGUGCUCUGUGGAAAGGCACCCUGGGCCUAUAUCUCAGUUUCCAAGGGCGACACUCAUGCGUGGCCUCCUAAAAUCCCAACACAAUUCAUGGCAAUACUUCUGUGAGGUCAAUUCCAGAACUCAGUCUCUCAGGGGAACCACACCAGAGUUCAAGCCCAGGUGGACCCAGUCAUCUCUUCCAAUCGCCACACAAAUGAACACAAUUGAAACCAAAACACUCCCACAUGGACCUCAUUUUCUUCCAUAUAGACACUCAUCAUAACAUCUUGCUAGAGGUUUCCAUGAGGGGCACAGUCCAAGAUAGUGUCCAAAACAAGCUCCCUUGCCCUUCAUUUGCUUAAGUUCGAGUGACUUGGACACCCUUCCUGUGAACCAGGAGUGAUCCAAUAGGCCUGCAUUUAAUACUGCUCUGCUUCUCCAAUUUGAGGCCUACUGACUGUGGGAUUUAGAUUCUUUAUGAGUAUUGGAGUCAGGAGAAAACACAAGCAUCAAUGGGCUAGCCUCUGCAGGGCUUUAAAGAACUCAUUUAACCCAAAGGAUCCCUAUUCUCACUUGAUGGAGGUCAGGAACCUUACAGAGGAAGGUGAGUGACUUCAUCCACAAUGACUGCUCUUUUGGCCAAUUUGGUUUUGGAUGCACACAUUGGAUCUUUCUUUACAUCCAUCAGGUGCUGACAAUCUAAGCCACAGCCUCACACAGGGCCAAGAGCCUGAUUCAGACACAUCCCAUUCCAAAGCAAUUAAACAAAGAGCCACAGGUGAUACCCAUUAAUUUCCACUUGAAAACUGUUUUCUUCAGGCUUCAAAAAGGGUUGGCCUGAGGCAAAGACCUUCCUGACUUUCCAGGCAAAAGAACAAUUGUUAAGCAAAAGGCCCAACCAGGGUUUCUUCACUGAGACUUUCCUGGUCACACUGAUAUCUGAGUUUUCUGAGAUGCUCGCCAUUCUCUUCAGCUAUCCAGUACAUGGCCAUGUGACAGAGCUUGGAGGUGGUACAUAUCUUGGACACAAAACCAUGAGCCUAUUCUGUAGAGUGGCCAGAAUUCAGGACCAAAACUGGAACUUAGGAAGAUGGUAGGUGUUGCCCAUCGAUAACUCUAGCUGCAGUCCAUUCAUAAAUUGGGGAGGAUGAAUGCUGGGAAGCUUUCUACUAGACAGGACACAUCCAUUGUUGCAUUCUUUUUUCUAAUGUCAACAACCACGGACACAGUGAGAUACAUAGACAUAGAAACACAUGUCUUGUGGAACGACUUAGUAGAAACAUUUCACUCCAAACCACCAAACCGUCUUUCCUACCUAUUCUCAGAACAUGAGACAAAACCAAAAACCCACAUCCACACCCACAAAGGCACCUCCUUCCCCCAAGUAGGUGUGUGACUAUCCGGAGUGUCCUCUGACUGGUGGGCCAUACUAUGUUCCCACAAAAUGGCCUGUGCUUUCUCAGAUCUGGUCUCCUUGGCCAACUCUGUGAAGUUGCCAGUACCCAGCAGUGAGCCACUACCUGCUUUCUCAGGAAAGGUCCCUCUUCAGAGCUUUCCUGGCAUUUGGCCAUCCUCACAUCAGUAAGUACCAAGAAAGACUGACUCUGUCCUUGGUAAAUCCAAACAAGUGAGCCCACUGGGACUGGUACUGGGACUGGCUAUGGAUGCCUGGCUUCCUGGAUCCCAAGUUCAGAGAGUUCCAUCACCAAGGAAGUGAGGUGAGAUCACUUCCUUCAGGAACUGAAUGAGGUCACUGCCUUGGCAACCACCUUGUCCUAACAGUUGCUUCCAAGGGUCACAUGAGAUGGUGGCUGCCCCUACUUCCUGUGAAACUUUCACAAGUUAGAUUGGUAUAUCAACCAUAGGAACCUGGGAACAGCUCUCCGCACAGGCCUGGUUUGGUCCAUCUUCUCUACAUUAAGAACAGAGAGGCUGAUUCUGACAAAACCCUUCAUCCUGACCAGGUUGUUUGCCAUGGAAGAUGACUUUUACUCUCCCAGGUCCUUCAUAGCUGCCUACAUCUUCACCAGGGAUCAUUUCUGCAUGGACCUUUGAGGUUCUCAGCAGGUGGAAGAUCCCCUACAUUCCUGUAUUGUAAGACCAACUCUGUCCCUGCUCUUCUGUAAUGUUAUAUUGAGGGAACACUGUAUGGUUAGGGUUAAUAACAUGUUUAAUUUGGGUUAGGAAUCAUUCUGCUGGAUGAAUUAUGGUAUUGUGAACCUGCGAUAUGUUUGAGAAUAUACAGGUGAAAUAUAUGUAUGAAAACAGAAAUCUAGGUAAGAUUUGAAGCCCAGAAGAGCAUUGGGCCCUUGAUUGGGAUACUUAGCUUUGAAUUACAUUCUGCACAGAUGUGUCAGAUUAAUCAAUAUACAAUGGCAUAGGACCUUGUACUUUGGAUGAUUGAAUGUAGAAGAGAACAUCCAGUCAAAAAGGGAUAGUCGGUAGUGAAAGGUUAAUAAAAUAUGUACUUGUCACUUCCUGUUUUUCUGUAUGCUUAACAAAACACUUUUGAAAUCUUGAGAAUUGUUUGCUAAUCUUGUUCCCAGAAUGUGCUGUCCCCAACUGCCAAACUGCAGAAGGUACUCCCUCACCCAUUUGCAUGCAAACUGCCCACUCACCCGGACCCAUCAAUAAACUUCCCACCUUGCCCUCUCCAAGGAAAUUAUAUAAGCUCUGCUUAAGCUGUUCUCAGGGCUCUCUGCUUUAUUCAAGUGAGCUCUUAGCCCCAGCAUGCUGGACCCCCACUAAACCCUUUGCUGUUGCAUGUGACAGUCUCUUUGUGGUCUCUUCCUCCGACGCUCACCCGACCUUUACAUAUGGAGGUUCCACUGAGAUCCAGCAGCGGCAGACGAGAGACCCCGUGUGUAGUUGCUUUCAGUGUUUGUGUAUCUUUCAUUAUGGGAAACAGCACUUCAAUGCCUCUGUCCCUGACCCUUGAUCACUGGACCAAAGUCCGCUUAAGGGCUCAGAAUCUUUCUUAUUUAGUAAAAUGCUGGACCUGGCAGACUCUCUGUGCCUCAGAAUGGCCCACCUUUGGAGUCGGAUGGCCUCUAGAAGGAUCUUUCUACUUCCCACUAAUUUAAAAAGUCAGAUAUAUUGUCUUUCAGCCUGGGCCACAUAGCCAUCUGGAUCAACAGCCAUAUGUCUUAACUUGGCAGGACCUCUGUAAAUCUCCUCCUCCAUGGGUGAAGCCUUUCCUUGCCCCUGCCCCCGCUCCUACUCCUUCCCCCAGGAUCUCUCAAACACUCUGCUCUUCUUCCUCCUCCACCCUCUAUUCUCCCUGAGUCACAAGAUUUGACUCUACUGGAUUCUCCUCCCCCUCCUUAUCCCUUGCCCUGUUCCCCCAACCCCCAAUACCCUCAAAGUGAUUCUCCUGCUGCUGACUCAGCCACUCUGCAAUUGGAGGAGAACAGCGCCCUCCAGAUAGCUCCCUGGUGGCACACACAGCCCCUCCUUCCCUUGAGGAAGCUGGCCCACCUAAAGGAACUCGCCAGCAGUGAAUGAUUGAAAACCCUGGAACUCCUGUGAUGCUUCCCCUCGGUCCCUAUGGGCCAAUGAUUGAUGACGGCCAUGGGGGAAAAAUGCAAGCCUACCAGUAUUGGACUUUCUCCUUUUCAGACCUAAAUAACUGGAAAAAUAACAAUCCCCCUUUUUCUGAGUACCCCACCUGGCUCACAGGUCAGGUUGAGUCAUUGAUGUUUUCACACUAGCCUACUUGGGAUGACGGCCAACAACUCCUAGGAAUUAUCUUCAUGACAGGGGAAUAAAAGAGAAUACUCCUGGAAGCUGGAAAAAAAUAUUCUCUGACCAGAUGCAUGACCGACACAACUUCCCAACAUAAUCAAAGCCAGCUUUCCUUUGUGCUGACCCAACUGUGGCCCCAAAACCUUUGAAAGUAGGGAGCAUCUGUCCACUUAUCGCCGGGCUCUAAUAGCUGGUUUCCGUGUGGCCACUAGGCGACCAACUAAUUAAGCCAAGGUAAGAGAGAUUAUUCAAGGGCCUGAUGAACCUCCCUCUAUGUUUCUAGAGAGAAUUAUGGAGGCAUAUAGGAGAUAUACUCCUUUCGAUCCUCAGGCAAAGGAUCAAAAGGCAUCUGUCACAAUGGCCUUUAUUGGGCAAGGUGCCCUGGAUAUUAAAAGAAAGUUACAAUGCUUAGAUGGAUUACAAGAUAUGACUUUGAGAGAUUUAGUCAGAGAAGCUGAGAAGGGAGCAAAGGGAGGAUAAAAGAAACAAAAGACAGACUAAGGCAUUGACUAAGGUCCUGGUCACAACAACAAAUAGGCCAGAAAUUAAGAAACAAGGAGACAGGAAGGGAUACCUGGGCCCACGCCAGAGGCCACCCCUGGCCUCAGAUCACUGUGCCUACAGUAAAGGAAAAGGACCCUGGGCCAAACAGUGCCCUAGAAAGAGACAGCCAUGCCAGCCAGCCAUUCUGAUUCCUGAGGAUGACUAUGAAAGUUGGGGCUCAGAUCCCCUCUCCGAGCUCAGGGUAACUUUUGAAGUGGAAGGGACUCCACUAAACUUUGAAGUGGAUACAGGGGCAAUAUACUCAGCUCUUAAGGCCCCAUUGGGCCCUCUAUCAAACAAAAGGUCUCUAAUUCAAAGUGCUAAUGGCAGUAAGUAUCGGGCUUGGACAACUAAGAGGACCAUGGACCUGGGAAAAGGAAAAUCCAUCAAUCCUUCCUAGUAAUCCCAGAAUGCCCGAAUGCCCAGCCCCAUUGAUGGGCAGAGAUCUGCUCACCAAGCUCUGGGCCAAAAUAACUUUUAACCCUGAAGGCCCCCAAGUGGAAUUUCUAAAUCCUUCAGUAAAAACUCCUAUAGUCAUGGCUCUAAAUACGUCAGUAGAAAAUGUACAUCAACUCACUCUCCUUGGUUCAAAGAAAUUGCAUUCAUUCCUGAAGGAUCAAGAACAGAGUUUUCCACUAACCAACUCACAGUGAAAGGAAAUAACUGAAUGGGUAACAAAAGCCUGUCGGGUCCAUCAAUUGGUUAAUGCUUACCCUUCCUGCAGGAAAGCACCUACAAGGAAUAAGACCAGGACAAUUCUGGGAAGUGAAACUUACUGAAAUUAAGCAUGCAAGUUCUGGACUUAAAUAUCUCCUAGUCUUUGUAGAUACAUUUUCAGGAUGGAUUGAAGCCUUCCACACACACACAAAAAAAAAAGAAAGAAAGAAAGAAACAGUGCAAAUGGUGGUCAAGAAGAUCCGGGAAGAUAUUUUUCCAAGAUACGGCCUGUCUAAGGUAACAGGGUCUGAUAAUGGACCUGCAUUCGUGGCCCAGGUACGUUAGGGGUUAGCCAGGACCCUGGGGAUUAAUUGGAAGUUACAUUGUGCUUAUAGACCCCAGAAUUCAGGACAGGUAUAAAGAAACAAUAGAACCAUUAAAGAGACCUUAAUGAAAUUAAGCUUAGAGACCUGCAUAAAAGAUUGGACUAUGCUCCUGCCUUAUGCACUGUUUCAUGCAAGAAAUUCUCCCUCUGUUUCUUUGUGUAACCUCACCCCCUAUGAAAUUCUCUAUGGGGCCCCUCCUUCUGUAAGGGACCUAACCCCAACUCUAAGACCUAACGAUCCCUUCCACACCCCCUUGCUUGACAUACUUAAAGCUCUUGAAAGAACUCAGCGAUACUUGUGAAAACAGCUGGCCACUGCCUACCAACCUGGGAACAAGGGGACUCCACAUCUAUAUCAAGUAAGAGACUUCUUCUAUGUAAGUCGAAAUCAGGUGUCAUCCCUUGAACCCUGCUGGAAAGGACCAUACCAGGUGCUACUUAUAACACCUACAGUGGUAAAGGUAGACAGAAUCACUUCCUGGAUCCAUGCCUCUCAUCUCAAGCCUGCGCCCUGUCCAGACUCUGGCUGGAAACUGGAAAAGACUGGUAACACUUUCAAAUUGCGUAUUCAUCCUGUGGAUAAGGCUAUUGACUCUCCCUUUGACCACCAGUAGUCCUAACCCUCAUCAGCCCUUUCAGCAGCGAUGGCUGAUCACAAAUCCUACUGGACAAGAAGUACAAUCUAUCUCGCAUAUAGCCCCCUUACCAGCUAACCCAAAGCUCAAACCAGAUGAGGAGAGCCCUCAGACCCCUAUCCAAAUGUAAUUAAAAUGGCCUUUAAAGUUGCUUUUUCAUCACUGAAAACAGGUUANNNNNNNNNNNNNNNNNNNNNNNNNNNNNNNNNNNNNNNNNNNNNNNNNNNNNNNNNNNNNNNNNNNNNNNNNNNNNNNNNNNNNNNNNNNNNNNNNNNNNNNNNNNNNNNNNNNNNNNNNNNNNNNNNNNNNNNNNNNNNNNNNNNNNNNNNNNNNNNNNNNNNNNNNNNNNNNNNNNNNNNNNNNNNNNNNNNNNNNNNNNNNGUCUUCCCCCUCUGUACCAGGCCCACAGAAAAGUCUUAACUGACCUUCUCCAGAAGUCUUCACCAUGGCUAACUUUAAGACUUUCAGCAAAAGAGUCCCUAUAGAAGAGUUCAGUGUAGAUUAACUUCCUCUUUUCGUGUUGCCCUGUUCUACUUGGCCACUGGCUAAAAAAUCAGCACUCCUAAGCUAGACACCCCCUUACUAGUUUUUCACAAAAUAUGUGAACAAGGCCUCUGGCCUUGAGCUGGGGCUUCACAGAGAUGGCUACAUUUCUAAGAUAAAGAAGUUACCAACUGGGCUCCAUGGUAACAGCUGGCAGGGGGAGAAAAGAAAGGAAAAAAAAAAGCUCUCCCCCUCCCAGAUGUCCUUAAAAAGUUAACUUGUCCAGAACAGAGGAAAAAAACAAACAAAAACUGCUUUUUAUAAACUUCUGCAGACUGUGAACUUCUGAGCCCCUUCCCUUACAUGUUGGGUACAAAAUUCUGAAACUACCUAAACUUGGGGUUCAGGGGAUUAAUUGAUUACAACAGAAGCAAUGCCCUCUGAAUCCGAUUGCAACCAAAUAGGACCGUUUCCCUGUCUUCGGUGCUAUCUUAGGUACCUUGCCUUGUCCGUCCCUACAACAGUAUAAUUCUAUAUACUUAAACAUUGUUUAUGUUUUCAUAAAAUGGUCAACAGAUGUAAUUAAUUAUAUAAUGGUGCAGAUGUUUCCCAGAGUGCUCUAUCAUGACGCAGGUUCAUUUGAAGAUCAAAUAGGGGGGCAUACAACCCGGUUCCGCUGGGAACCUGUAUCCCUCACUUUAGCCAUCCUAUUAGGAAUAGGAGUUGCUGCAGGGGUGGGCACAGGAACCACUGCCCUGGUCCAUGGGAUACAACAAAUGACCCAAUUGAAAAACAGCAAUAGACCAAAACUUAAAGAUAUUAGAAACCUCCAUCACAGCUUUGCAGGAAUUUUAACCUC